ACACCAAUACUGCCUGCUGUGUAGUUGCAACCACCAACUUCAAAUGCUCAAUUUUGUUGUUGUUUCAUAUACUUGCUUAAAGGUAUCUGAAUUCCAAUGAAAAAAAGCUCUUGAAAUACAUCUUCAUCUAUCCAACAAGGAUGUGAUCCUUUUCUUUCCCAAUUAAGUAUAACACGCCUAAGCGUGUCGGAUAAUCGGGCAACACAUUUUGAGUCAAAAUUUUCUUUAAUUUGAUACUGAUCUCUAAUGUUCCAACAACAUUUCUCCUACAUUAUUUUAUGAAUUAAAAAAAUAUUAAAUAAAGUAUAAUCAUAAAUAUCUCAAUAAAUAUAAAGGAAAUUAAAGUAAUAAUUACUUAAAUGAGUCGGUCUUAUACCUAAAAUAACUUAAAUCAAUCUUCAUUGUCUUUAACAGAAAGUUCUCCAUAAGUCGGCCAAAACUUUUUAUAGUUUUCUUUAAUAAAUUUUUUUAUACUCGAUACUGCUUGAUGUGAUAUCACAAGGCUAAGCAACAAAAUUUUGAGUUAGCAUAAAGAAAAAUAACUCGAAUUUAAAAUUUAAAAUACAAUAUAUAAAACAUAAACACUUACCUUUCUCCAUUGGGAUGAAUGAUAAAUCUGCCCUGGUAAUUCCUAGUUGUUUGCGGCAUCGCAUUUAUCAGAAUAAACGUCCUCCUUCACUCCUCAUGAGCACUGUCAAGAGCAUCGGUAUUUCCAUGAUCAUGAAAACUUGUAUCUUCAUGACCAUGAGCACUAGUAUCAUCCUCAUCUCCUACUCAUCAUGCACAAAAUGCAUGGGUGAUGAAUGUGGUAUGCUAGAUCAAAUUGUCCCCAUAUAUGGAAUAGAAGGUUGCAUGGAAGGCAUAGGAAAUCUAGGACCACUCGACUGCAUGGAAGGCAUCGAAAAGCUAGGUUCGCUCGACAACAUGGAAGACAUCAAAAAAUAUGUGGGAUAUGGGGUGUUAGGAUGCAUAACAGAUGUAUAUCCAGGAGGAAUAAUAAAAGUUAUCGUAGAUAUGGUUGGGAAUGAGGAAAAAUCAGGCGUGGAUAGUAAUUAGGUGAAAGAUCUAGAUUGGGGUGGAGUAGAAUGCAUAAUUUAAAACGUAUAGUAUCACUCAAACUUGCAAUCUCCUCAAUUUUAAUUAUCCCAUUAACUGGUGAAAUCUCAUCAUCUUGGUAUGCAACAUCUCUCAUUACACCGUCAGUUUCAAUAUGACCUAUUGGGUUUGACUUGAUUACAACACACCAUCCUUGUUUACGUGGUUGAAUUGAAGGAUAAAGUACAUAAUAAACUUGCCUAACAUUAUGUGCAAUUAUGAAAGGUUCAUACUCUUUGUAGUUUCUAUCUAUUUGAACCUCAAUAGUGUUUUUUUUAUAUCUAUUUUAGUUCCUCUGAAAGAUGGAUCAUUCCGGUCACAAUAAACAGUGUUAUCACACAUAUUUAUAAACAUGUUCCAUUCACUUACUGUUGAAUGUAAUUCUAAGUGUCGGGUUUUUGUUAUCGUAUCACAGGGAUUGUGAGAUAUCACCGCCUUUCGACAGUUGUUUUGAUUCUUAGCUUAAGGUAACAAUGGGGUUUUGGUAUUUGUCACGGUAUCUUGCAUAAAAGUAUAAUAAAAUGCGGUAAAAGUUUUGGUUUGAAUAUUUGAGAAAUAUUGCCAAAGUUAGGGUUCGACGAUCACUUUGCAUGUAUAUGUUCGAUCAACAAAACUUAUAAACUCCUUUAGAUGAUAAACUAUUUCACAAAGUCCUUCCAAUGUGUUUAUCUCUAACACACAUUGUGAGUUUUCCCAUUUUGAUCCAUUGUUUAUCUCUAACACAAUCUAUCAAAAUGACAACUUUUUGGUUCAACCUUAUGGUGAACAAAAUCAUUCAUUACUAUCUCUAGCUAACAAACAAGAUUGGAUGAAAACCUAGGUUAAGAGUUGGUAAACAUCUCUCGAUCAUAAACCAACACAAAGAGUUUUCAAUAAGAACAAAGUUUUCACCAUAUAUUCACCAUUAAAGAGUUUACAAAUGAAGAUCCUUACAUUUACACACAAAGCUAAUGAUCAUCUACAUCUAACCUUGACAAAAUGAAGGACUUAGCUACUCAUUUUCAUGGUAGCUUGGUCAACAAGUUUCGGAAGAAGGUUGAUCAACAUCCGAGUCGAAUAAUCGAGAUUGGAUGGGAAUCCACCUUCUUUUUGUGAAAGAUNNNNNNNNNNNNNNNNNNNNNNNNNNNNNNNNNNNNNNNNNNNNNNNNNNNNNNNNNNNNNNNNNNNNNNNNNNNNNNNNNNNNNNNNNNNNNNNNNNNNNNNNNNNNNNNNNNNNNNNNNNNNNNNNNNNNNNNNNNNNNNNNNNNNNNNNNNNNNNNNNNNNNNNNNNNNNNNNNNNNNNNNCAAAGUUAGGGUUCGACGAUCACUUUGCAUGUAUAUGUUCGAUCAACAAAACUUAUAAACUCCUUUAGAUGAUAAACUAUUUCACAAAGUCCUCCCAAUGUGUUUAUCUCUAACACACAUUGUGAGUUUUCCCAUUUUGAUCCAUUGUUUAUCUCUAACACAAUCUAUCAAAAUGACAACUUUUUGGUUCAACCUUAUGGUGAACAAAAUCAUUCAUUACUAUCUCUAGCUAACAAACAAGAUUGGAUGAAAACCUAGGUUAAGAGUUGGUAAACAUCUCUCGAUCAUAAACCAACACAAAGAGUUUUCAAUAAGAACAAAGUUUUCACCAUAUAUUCACCAUUAAAGAGUUUACAAAUGAAGAUCCUUACAUUUACACACAAAGCUAAUGAUCAUCUACAUCUAACCUUGACAAAAUGAAGGACUUAGCUACUCAUUUUCAUGGUAGCUUGGUCAACAAGUUUCGGAAGAAGGUUGAUCAACAUCCGAGUCGAAUAAUCGAGAUUGGAUGGGAAUCCACCUUCUUUUUGUGAAAGAUGGUUAAGAGAUGAAGAAAAAUGGUUUCUAGGUCACAAAAGAUCCUUAGAACAAUGCUGUAAAAUAUCUAGAAAAAGUAUAAAAGUAUGGAAAAAUAACGUAUGGCUCCAAAAAGUGCACUUGCUACUUAUAGAGCUGCUACUGGGCUGUCAUGCUCGUUAGGCGAGCAGAAUGGCUCGCCUAGCGAGCCCCUAAUUGAGGCACCUGAGGCACCUGCGCCCAGAGAAACAGCCUUUCCCAGACUGUCAUGUUCGCUGAGUGAACAAAACCUUCGCCUAGCGAAGGACACGCUUCAACCUUCGCCCCAUCGAGGUUGAGAGGUUUUGCUACUGGAAUGCUCGCUGGGAGCUCGCUAAAGGCUCGCCUAGCGAGUGAGUACUGGCUGCACUUUUCACCAAGUCUGGACGUGUUCGCCACACACCUCGCUGGAAGCUCGCCUAGCGAGUGUGGUCAUGUUUGCCACUGUAAAAUACUGAAGCUUUUCGCUGGACGCUCGCCUAACGAGUCCUUCGCCACAGCCCUCGCCUAGCGAGCAAGCUGAUGAAUGCUUGUUUUGUUUGAUACCUUUGCCAAAUUUCUUGUGUCUUCACUUUCUAUUAUUUCAUGCCUACUUCCUGCACAAUAACACACAAAUCAAAGGUACCAAGAUCGUUUAUCAAUGAAUUGCAUUUCAUCCAAAACAAAGGUGGUUUCGAACACUUUAGCAAGGAAAUGGAGUGAAAGAUACCCACAUUUGAUAGCUCAAAUAAGCACUUUUGGGCAUCUAACAAUUCUCCCCAACUAGAUUCUUGCUUGUCCUCAAGCAAAGUAUGCCCCUUGAAGGACAAGAGGAUUUGCUUUAAGAAAAAGGUUUCUCCGAAGUCGGAUAAAACGGCUCAAACACAAGCGAAUCAGCAGAUACAAAUUUCCAACGGUUAGAAUAAAAUAAUACACAAGAACUAAAACUUAAUAGCAAUGCGAAAUAUGUAUCUAUCUACAACAAUAUUAUCUUGAAUGAAUCACCCUAUCUCUCCUCUUCGAAUAAGGAUUGAAGAAAUUACGCGUUUGCAACCGCGGGAAUAAUCUCACUCUCUAACAAACAAUGAAGAAAUCAAUUCAAUUCAUACAAUGUCUAACAAUUAUAAAUGGUAAUGUGGAAGCACGAAGAUCACUAAGGACUUUUCGGUUGAAGCUUGGUUAGGUUAACAAACAAGGGUCAUUUCUAAGGCCAUUGAAAACGAAAUUGCCGAUGCAAAAGAGACAUUCACUGUACAUUAUUCACACAUCUCAACUUCGUUCCAUUUGUUUCUCAUUUGAAACCUUCACAACUCUUAUUUCACAACUCAAUUUUUGUUUUUCACUAUUUUUCUUCCAAGCAAGCAUUCAUUUUUAUUUUCUCUAUAUUUUUUUUUUUUCUCUUUUCUUUCACAUCAUAUUUACAAAACAGAUGUUUCUCUUUUCUAUAUUUUAUAUAUUUUUUUUUUAUGCUUGCUCGGUUUUUCAAGAGUUGUGGCACUUACCGAUUCUCAUUUUCGUUCUCCCCAACUUAUUUCUUACUCACCCUAAGUGAAUGCUCUUGACUUUUUACGGCAAAAGAACAAUUAUCAAAAUUUUCCGGGUUUCAAGAAAAAGAUUUUUGAAAUCUCGCUUUAUUUCAAGCUAAGAUUCAACUGUUUAAGCUCAAAGGGGUUAACGAAUACUCUCUCUGCUCACAGGUAAGUUGUAUUUGGAACUGGUUGUGCUCGAUAGAAAACAAGUGCCUUGAUCAUUUCUAAUUGCUUCCACAUAUUCACAAUAAUAAAAGACAAAGCAUGAAUCAAAUGAAUCAACAAAGCUUAUUAGAAUCCAGCAUUUAAGUGUACAAUGGAGGUUUCCUCACAAUUUGUGGUUUUAAGUCCUAGAUGAAACAUUCAUUCAAUUAUGUUGCAAAAAGACAAUACUCAAUUACAAAAAAGAGUAAAGUUCUUAGUGCAUUCUAAAAUUCUAGCCGGAGGUAACCAUGUACCUUAGCAUUAUUCACUUGUUUAUUCUUAUCAUUGCCAUCCAAGCUCGGAUGCACCUUCAUUGGAUACUUCUUUGAGGAGCAACCAAUCUAGAAGGUUUGCCACUCAAUCAACCAAAAAUUUAUUAAAACAAACAAAAUUUAAAACAUGAAUAAUAAUAUUAACUUCAAAAUUUAAAUUUGUUCAUGGGGGACAAAACAUCUCAAAAGUACAAAGCCAAAAUCAAAAUACAGAAUUCUGGAAAUACAGUAGAAAUAGAACAUAAAAUAAAAAGUAAAAUAACUUAGCCCUCCACGGACUCAUAACCCUCCUCACUACCGGCUUCAGAACCGGUAGCCUCAUCAUCAUCAUCGCCAUCAUUACCAUCGGCAGCACUAGAAGAAGCACCAGCACCCGCCCCCUCACCAAACACAGGCCUGUCCACAGGCCAGUUAGCGUUAAGCAGAAACUGCUCACGCGUCAUCAAUGAGUGAUCACCGGUGGGGUCACGUCCCUACAGCUGUAACAGCUGCAUAGAAUCGUGCAUGUCGAGCAUGGCACGCUGAGUAGCCGCCAUCCAGUCCCAGUUGUAAUUUCAGACAGCUUGCUGGUAAGGAUCAGGUCCGAGAGUAGAAGUACCAGGACCAUCAGAAGCCCGGGUACCCUCAGCAGCUGCACUACCUCUAACAUUCUUCACCCAUCAAUACUUGGCCACGUAACGGUCAUCGAUGGGUGACGGGAUCCUUACCUGACCCCUAGAAGGUAGCCUCACCCUUGCUUGUAUGCACAAACUCAUGAUUAGGCAGGGGAAAGCCAGGGGACAAUUCACAUGAGCCCCCGACUUUAGCCCGCUUUCAAUCACGGACUUAAGCUCAUAAGCAAUAAUCCUCGCCACAUCGAUCCGGACGUUAGUGAGGAUACAGUGUACCAAGUGUGCCACUGGGAUCGGCACUGUAGAAGUGUGGGACUUGGGUUGGAUGUUUGUCAGCACCAUCAGCAGGAUCAGUUGAGCCAAGGGAGUCAUGUCCUCCCUGUGGUAUCUCAUAGGAACCCCAGAUGGGUUCAGCUCAACUGAUUUCCCUCUUAACAGCAGGGCAGCAGAGAUUGCAUCAAUAUCCCGGUGAAGCCGUAAGUCUGUGUGGUAGGUGUCUCGCUCCUCGGCUCCCAGUUGGAGCGGUUCACCAAGGAUGCGGUUAAUAGCAUCCCGAUCAAAAGCAACAGGACGACCGGCCACUCUAGAUGUCCAAGUAAAUGGCUCGUCAUCAUCUGGAAGUGCGUUCGCAUAGAACUCACGCACCGUUGCAAUAUCAUAAUGCUCAAGUGGGGAAAUUAACCGAUCCCACUUCUUGGUGUCAAUCAACCCGGCGAAUGCUCUGUUCGUGCCUUGAGGGUUGAUGAUGAAUCUCUUCUCCGGUAGAAUUUUCCGCUUCUUCAAAGCAAUGUACCUUGCGGCUUGCUUCGGCCCGACAAAUUUGUCGGUAUCAAACUAUAUUGUUACGGGACGGGAAAUGUUCCCUCCCUUUCUUUUCUUUGAAGCGUCGGAUCUAGAUUCCAUCUGCAAAAUAUAAAGAGGAAGCAACACACACAAAACAGAUUAGACAGCAAAACCAAAAUUCAAAGAACUGUCAUGCUCGCUGCUGCUUCGCCUAGCGAAGUGGCAGCGAAUGCUCGCCUCUGGUUCGCCUAGUGAGUUGCUAGCGAACCUUACGGGUUUUUGGGUUCUGCAGUAUUUUCAGUAAAAUUUUCCCAAAACCCACAUUCUAUUGGUUUCAAUUUCAGAACCUAAUGAUAUAUCAAGAAAAGAAACGUUCUAUGCUAUUGGUAAUUACAAACUCACAUGCAAAACCUAAAAUUCCCACAUUCAAAACCUAAAAUCCCCACAUGCAAACCUAAAGUUUCCCAUACCAACAACUUCAUCCUAAAUGACAUUCAAAUCAGGAAUAAACAAAGCUUAAGCAUAAAGAAAUGGUAUUAGGGCAAACCUUAGCAACCGACAAAUUUGUCGGUAUCAAACUGUAUUGUUACGGGACGGGAAGUGUUCCCUCCCUUUCUCUUCUUUGAAGCUCCGGAUCUAGAUUCCAUCUGCAAAACAUAAAGAGGAAGCAACACACACAAAACAGAUUAGACAGCAAAACCAGAAUUCACAAUACUGUCAUGCUCGCUGCUGCUUCGCCUAGCGCAGUGGCAGCGAAAGCUCGCCUCUGGUUCGCCUAGCGAGUUGCUAGCGAACCUUACGGGUUUUUGGGUUCUGCAGGUUUUUCAGUGAAAUUUUCCCAAAACCCACAUUCUAAUGGUUUCAAUUUCAGAACCUAAUGAUAUAUCAAGAAAAGAAACGUUAUAUGCUAUUGGUAAUUACAAACUCACAUGCAAAACCUAAAAUUCCCAAUUGCAAAACCUAAAAUUUCCCAUACCAACAACUUCAUCCUAAAUGACAUUCAAAUCAGGAAUAAACAAAGCUUAAGCAUAAAGAAAUGGUAUUAGGGCAAACCUUAGCAAAAUAGAGUGAUUGGAUAUGAAAUGCAGUGAGGUUCACAAUCCUCCAAUUUAGGGUUUGAGUGUUUGUGAGAGAUAUGAAAAUGAGAGAGUGAGGUGAGUGUUCGUGCAAAUGCCUCAGCAGAGUUGUCAAACAGAAAAUUGUGUUUGGGCCCCAAAUGAGUGGUCUGCUGAGAAUUUAAAUAACUGCUGUCACGCAGCGCUCGCUGCUGCUUCGCCUAGCGAGCAGCUAGCGAAUCUGUUCGCUACUGCUUCGCCUAGCGAGCAUGACAGCAUUUGCCUUUUCAAAGGCAGCAUUCCAGGUACAUUCAGCAUGGUUUUAACAAUUGGAAACCCAAUACAACAGAACAGGAAAACAGUAAAUACUUACAAUGUUGGGGUGCCUCCCAACAAGCGCUUGUUUAACNNNNNNNNNNNNNNNNNNNNNNNNNNNNNNNNNNNNNNNNNNNNNNNNNNNNNNNNNNNNNNNNNNNNNNNNNNNNNNNNNNNNNNNNNNNNNNNNNNNNNNNNNNNNNNNNNNNNNNNNNNNNNNNNNNNNNNNNNNNNNNNNNNNNNNNNNNNNNNNNNNNNNNNNNNNNNNNNNNNNNNNNNNNNNNNNNNNNNNNNNNNNNNNNNNNNNNNNNNNNNNNNNNNNNNNNNNNNNNNNNNNNNNNNNNNNNNNNNNNNNNNNNNNNNNNNNNNNNNNNNNNNNNNNNNNNNNNNNNNNNNNNNNNNNNNNNNNNNNNNNNNNNNNNNNNNNNNNNNNNNNNNNNNNNNNNNNNNNNNNNNNNNNNNNNNNNNNNNNNNNNNNNNNNNNNNNNNNNNNNNNNNNNNNNNNNNNNNNNNNNNNNNNNNNNNNNNNNNNNNNNNNNNNNNNNNNNNNNNNNNNNNNNNNNNNNNNNNNNNNNNNNNNNNNNNNNNNNNNNNNNNNNNNNNNNNNNNNNNNNNNNNNNNNNNNNNNNNNNNNNNNNNNNNNNNNNNNNNNNNNNNNNNNNNNNNNNNNNNNNNNNNNNNNNNNNNNNNNNNNNNNNNNNNNNNNNNNNNNNNNNNNNNNNNNNNNNNNNNNNNNNNNNNNNNNNNNNNNNNNNNNNNNNNNNNNNNNNNNNNNNNNNNNNNNNNNNNNNNNNNNNNNNNNNNNNNNNNNNNNNNNNNNNNNNNNNNNNNNNNNNNNNNNNNNNNNNNNNNNNNNNNNNNNNNNNNNNNNNNNNNNNNNNNNNNNNNNNNNNNNNNNNNNNNNNNNNNNNNNNNNNNNNNNNNNNNNNNNNNNNNNNNNNNNNNNNNNNNNNNNNNNNACAUCAUGAAGACUCUCCAUUGUUUUCUCAAUAAGGUCUGCAAAAAUGGCUUGCACACAUCGUUGGAAGUCGCCGGUGCAUUGCACAACCCAAAAGGCAUUUUCGGUACGCGAACACUCCAAACGACAUGUGAAAAGCCGUCUUUUCAUGAUCGGCCGGGUCAAUCGCAAUUUGGUUAUACCCGGAUAAGCCAUCCAAGAAAAACAUAGUAUAUUAUUGCCCCCGAGAGUCUUUCGAGCAUUUGAUCCAUGAAGGGAGUGGAAAAUGGUCCUUUCGAGUUGCGGUAUUCAAACCGCCUAUAAUCAAUACACAUUCGCCACCCCGUUGCAACUUUAGUAGGGAUCAAUUCAUCCUUAUCAUUCCGGAUCACGGUAAUUCCACCUUUCUUCGGAACCACAUGCACGGGACUAACCCAUGGACUAUCCAAGAUCGGGUUAAAUCAUUCCCGCAUCCAAAAGCUUUACAACUUCCUUUCGAACAACCUCCUUCAUGGUAGGAUUUAAGCGCGUUGAGGUUGAGCUACCGGCUUAAAAUCCUCUUCCAUCAAGAUCUUGUGCAUGCAAUAGGAAGGGCUAAUUCCUUUUAGAUCGGAAAGAGUCCAACCCAUGGCUUCUUUUUGUUUUUUUAGCACAUGGAUCAAGCGGGCUUCUUCGUCAUUUGUCAAAGGUUGCUUAUGAUGACCGGCUUUGCUUCCGGUCUCAUCUAGGAAUACAUACUUCAAAGUAGAAGGUAGUAUUUCAAUUCAAUAGGCACUUUUUCGUCAGUAACCUCCUUCUUCAAAGUCUUCUUCCUCAACUUCCACGGUUGUAGUUCGUCUAAACUAUCAAGUUCCUUUAAGCAUUCCUCAAGAGCUUUGCUCUUCUUCAACGGUGAAAACCUCCAAUGAGUCGUCAAGAGCUAACUCCAUAGGAUAUAAUCUCAUGGAAUAUGCUUAGAAACCUCCAAAAUUGCUCUUCGAUCACAUCGAUGCGAAAGCUAUCAUUUCUAUCUUUUGAAUGCUUCAUUGCUUCGAAUAGAUCGAAUGUUACUUCCUCAUUUUGGACUCUCACUUCAUUAAACCGUCAUCAACGCUAUCAUCAUUCGCGCGGUUUUCAUGAACGGUCGGCCAAGAUGAGCGGGCAUCAUCAUCUUCUUCCAUAUCAAUAACAAUAAAAUCGACGGAAAAAGAAUUUGUCGACUUUAACAAAACAUCUUGGGUUACGCAUGAGGAUGGGUUGUCGACUUAUCCGCCAAUUUGCAACGUCAUUCGGAUGGACUUAAUUUCAAUGUUGCAAGCCUCUUUAUAAUUGACAAAGGUAUAAGAUUAAUGCUUGACCCCAAGUCAAUUGUCCCUUCUCGACAUAGAUAUCACCAUUUUAACUGCAAAGUAAACUAUUCCGGAUCAACCUCUUUUUUUGGAAGCGUCCUUUUGAAUAAUGGCACUACAGCUCGCUCUAAGACGAUGGUCCGGUUCCGUAUACCUCCGUUUUUUUUGUAAGUAGUCCUCUUCAUGAAUUUGGCAUACUUGGGCAUUUUCUCCAAGGCUUCGGCAAACAGAAUGUUUAUUUGUAGUUGUUUUAAAAAUAUCCAUGAACCGGGGCGUAAUGCCGUUCAUUCUCCCUUUUGGACGGGGCAUGAGAUAAGGAAGGUUUUGGAUUGGAGUAGUGCUCAUACUCCUUUCCCUUUGCAACUCUAGAACUCCUCCAUUCUAGGCUUUUUCACUUCCUCCCCAUUACUUCAUCACUUUUAUUUUUCUCAAUCUCCACAUUUUUUUCUUUCAACUUCACCAUUCUUUCGUUCUUUCAACUUCUUCCUCCUCACUCCACUCCCCCACUUCACCAUCAAUAUUUCCUCCACUAAUUCCUCCUCAUUUUUAUUUCUUUUCUCUCUUUGUUCACUUCAACUCUUUUGUUAUUCUCACUCAUCAACUCCUUCCCAUUCUCGUUGUGAUCGCCUAUUACAAUGUUCCUUAGGAUUUAUUUACGUGUUUGCCGAAAAGGAAGGACGGUUUGUUGUUCCGCGAGUUGCUAGCAAGUUGCCCAACUUGAGUCUCGAGAUUUUUUAUAGCCGCGUUGUUGCUUUUUUGAUUUGUCAUUGACAUUUGCAUGAAUUGCGUCAAUGUCUCUUCCACUUAGAAGUUACGGACCGGCGGUUGUGAGAUUGAUAAGGAUUUUGGGGAGGGUUUGACGGCUAGAGAACCACCUCCAUAACCUUGGUGUAUGGUAAUAGUUACUCCUAGGUUGGAACCUUGGCUCCCCUGGAAUGUGGUUGUUGAUUUUGAGGUUUGGUUGAUAAGGUUGUUGUUGUUGUUGUUUCGGUUGGUAGUCCCUUUGGUUUGCCAUGUAGUUUACAUCUUCGAACCCCGGAGGUGGACAGAAUCCGGUGUCAUGCUCACCUUUGCAAAGCUCACAAAAAGCUAAUUGUUUAGCUUUAGAAGGUUCCCUCAACUCUUUAUUUGCUGCGUUAAGAGUUCCACUUGUUGUGAGAUGAGCUUGUUUUGGGCAAGGAUGGCAUCGUUCGUCCCUAGUUCAAGCACUCCCGGCUUUUUCAAAGAGUUGCCUCGACUUUGACCUGAAGAUCAUUUAGAGCCAUUCGAUUUUAUGAUAUUUGUAGCUUCUUCGGCACUUUUAGACAUAAAAGAGCCACCCGAGGUAUUCCAACAACGUCUUGCAAUUUGGUUGAAGUCCAUUUUUGAAAAAAUUGGAUUUGAGUCAUCUCAUCAAAUCCAUGCCCUUUACACUUCCGAAGCAUGGAUUUGAAUCUUUCCCACGCUUCAUUUAAGGAUUCAUUGAUUCCUUGUGCAAACACUGAGAUGGCCGUCUUGGAUUCCAUGAACCGGUUAUGGGAGAAGAAUCUUUCGAUGAACUUCUCUUCUAACACUUUCAGUCUGUCGUGACGCGCUGGGUGUUUGAUCUAAGUACAAUCUUUAGCUUUGCCAGCAAAGCGUGGGGAAAUAAUCUUCUGAAUAACGGUAGCUCCUGAGCCUGAUCCACUCCGGCCGCCAAUGCUAUCUCAUAAAAUUUCGUGAGAAAAGCAAAGGGAUCUUCAUGGUCCAUUCCGGUGAAUGGACUUCCAUAUAAUAAAUUGAGAGUUCUCAUUUUCAUCUCAGCUUGCCUUCCCGUGUGGUUGGCAACUAAGCAGUGUUUCUUGGACUGUUUAUGCAUGGAGUAGAAAUAGGCGGUGGUGGUGGCUCCAUGUUAGGUAUUGAAUGGUGGUGGAUUUGUGGUAGAAGAACUUUCUCCUUGCUCUUGACGUUGUCUAGCCUGUUGCCUCCUACGUCUCGUUUUUGCUAUUGAGCCUCCUUGCGAUUCUCUCGAUCUCGGAUCAAAAGAAGUUCGUCCACAGGGAUUUGCCCUCGCAUAAAACGUAAGUUGCACACUAAACCAAACAAAUUACAAGCACAAGUCAAAAAUUCGAAGCUAAAACUUAAACAACUAUUGCGAUGCUCGCAAUAUCAAUUCACAAUCCCCGGCAACGGCGCCCUUUUGUUGAAUGUAAUUUUAAGUGUCGGGUUUUUGUUAUCGUAUCCACAGGGAUUAUGAGAUAUCACCGCCUUUCGACAGUUGUUUUGAUUCUUAGCUUAAGGUAACAAUGGGGUUUGGUAUUUUGUCACGGUAUCUUGCAUUAAAAGUAUAAUAAAAUGCAGUAAAAGUUUUGGUUUGAAUAUUUUGAGAAUAUUGCCAAAGUUAGGUUCGACGAUCACUUUGCAUGUAUAUGUUCGAUCAACAAAACUUUAUAACUCCUUUAGAUGAUAAACUAUUUCACAAAAGUCUCCCAAUGUGUUUAUCUCUACCACAUUGUGAGUUUUCCAUUUUGAUCCAUUGUUUAUCUCUAACACAAUCUAUCAAAAUGACAACUUUUUGGUUCAACCUUAUGUGAACAAAAUCAUUCAUUACUAUCUCUAGCUAACAAACAAGAUUGGAUGAAACCUAGGUUAAGAGUUGGUAAACAUCUCUCGAUCAUUAACCAACACAAAGAAUUUCAAUAAGAACAAAGUUUUCACCAUAUAUUCCACAUUAAAGAGUUUACAAAUGAAGAUCCUUACAUUUACAACACAAGACUAAUGAUCAUCUACAUCUAACCUUGACAAAAUGAAGGACUUAGCUACUCAUUUUCAUGGUAGCUUGGUCAAAAGUUUCGGAAGAAGGUUGAUCAACAUCCGAGUCGAAUAAUCGAGAAUUGGAUGGGAAUCCACCUUCUUUUGUGAAAGAUGGUUAAGAGAUGAAAGAAAAUGGUUUCUAGGUCACAAAAGAUCCUUAGAACAAUGUUGUAAAAUAUCUAGAAAAAGUACAAAAGUAUGGAAAAUAACGUUAUGGCUCCAAAAAGUGGCACUUGCUACUUUAAGAGCUGCUACUGGUUGUCAUGCUCGCUAGGCGAGCAGAAUGGCUCGCCUAGCGAGCCCUAAUUGAGGACCUGAGGCACCUGCGCCCAGAGAAACAACCUUUCCCAGACUGUCAUGUUCUGAACGAACAAAACCUUCGCCUAGCGAAGGACAUGCUUCAACCUUCGCCCCAGCGAGGUUGAGAGGUUUUGCUACUGGAAUGCUCGCUGGGAGCUCGCUAAAGGCUCGCCUAGCGAGUGAGUGCUGGCUGCGCUUUUCACCAAGUCUGGACGUGUUCGCACACACCUCGCUGGAAGCUCGCCUAGCGAGUGUGUUCAUGUUUGCCACUGUAAAAUACUGAAGCUUUUCGCUGGGCUUUCGCUGGACGCUCGCCUAGCGAGUCCUUCGCCACAGCCCUCGCUAGCGAGCAAGCUGAUGAAUGCUUGUUUUAUUUGAUCCCUUUGCCAAAUUUCUUGUGUCUUCACUUUCUAUUAUUUCAUGCCUACUUCCUGCACAAUAACACACAAAUCAAAGGUACCAAGAUCGUUUAUCAAUGAAUUGCAUUUCAUCCAAAACAAAGAUGGUUUCGAACACUUUAGCAAGGAAAUGGAGUGAAAGAUGCCCAUAUUUGAUAGCUCAAAUAAGCACUUUUGGGCAUCUAACACUUACACGUUGCUAAGGGUCUUUAAACAAACUUCUCAAAUAGAAUAUUUCAGGACUUGGUGCAACAAUGCAUGAUAAUUGUUACUUGAACCAUGAAGUAAAAUAGGCAUGCGUGUAACUACUCGAUGGUUAUUCACUCGUGCUUUGAAAAUAGUAUGCAAUAAAUGCCCUAUUUCAAAAAAAAAAAUCUAGUUAGAGAAGGUGACAAAUAUAUUUAACUAAAAAUAAAUACAUACUUAAUUUAACAUACUUACUCAAGAUAUGGUUUAACUUCAACGCAAUAAAUCUGCACAUGAACAUGAACAAAUUGCAUUUCUUUUAAAGAUAGUCAAUGCACACUCGUCUUUCUAGAAAGACGACCAAAAAAUAAUAAGGUGAAUUGAGUUCUUUCACUAAAUUGAACUUAGUUCCUUAUGAUUCUCGGAGUCAACAUGAUAUGAUUGAAAUAAUGAGAGAAAAAUGUGACAUUUCUUGAUGCAAGUGAUGCACAUAUAUUGAUCCCUAAAUUCUUCCCUUAUUUUCACUGAUCACUUUGAAUCACCCAUGAAUCAUUCAAAUGGAUACAUCCAUCUAUAUUGAAUAGGUCCACCAAGGUAAGCUUCAUAAGCAAGACGCAUAAGGAGAUGCUCCAUAGAAUAAAAGAAACCUGGUGGAAAUAUUUGCUCCAACUUGCAGAGAAUGACAGGAAUAUCUUGGUUCAAUUUUUAAUGAUGUCGUCUACUCUUAAAGUUGACGCAUAAAUGUAUUUAAAAAAUUGACUAAUCUCAUUUAGUGGAUUAAGAACAUUCUUGGGAAGUGAACUAAGUGCAAUUGGAAGCAAUUGUUCCAUGAAAACAUGACAAUCAUGACUUUUCAUUCCAUGCAGCUUCCCAGUUUUUGCAUCAACACAUCUUACCAAGUUAGAAGAAUAACCAUCAAACAUCCUCAACUUAUUUAACCACCGACAUAAGGUUUUGCUUCUUAGGAAAUAAGAGUGUAACAAGCCUUGAGUUUUAACAAUUUUCCAUUUGGUUAAGGUUUCAACUCCAAGUAUUUUCGAUUACACAAAAGUUUCAAGUCCUUUCUAGCCUUCUCAUUAUCUUUUGUCUUGUCUUGGACAUCUAUCAUUGUGUUAAAUACAUUAUCAAAAAAAUUCUUCUCAAUAUGCAUAACAUCAAGAUUAUGUCGCAACAAAUUAUCCUUCCAAUAUGGGAGGUCCCAAAAAAUACUUCUUUUUGUCCAAUUAUGUGUGUCCCCAUAUCCUUGAAUUCUGCAUGCUUUACCAUUAUCUUUGAAUUUUGGUAGGUAACAAGCACUAUUCCAUACUUCAGUUGAUGACAUACGAGGGGGAGGAAGAUCUGUUACUUUUUUUUCCUUUUCUAAAAGAAUUCUUAUUUUUUUCUAAAAACAUGGUUUAUAGGUAAAAACCUACGGUGACAGUCAAACCAUGAACUUUUCCCACAUAUUUUCAAAGUAAACGCUUUUAUGUGUCCCAUGCAAUGUGGACAUCCCAUUUUCCCAUGUGUACCCCAACUAGACAACACGCCAUGUGCAGGAAAAUUGUUCAUUGUCCACAUCAAAGUUGCUUGCAUAUUGAAGUUUUAUUUACGAGACACAUCAUAAGUCCAUUCUCCAAUCCACAAACUCUUCAGAUCGUCAAUUAAAGGUUGUAAUUAAACAUAUAUUCCCGCCUUUGGACUCGAUGGUCCUGGAAUGAGGCAUAUCAAAAACAUGUAAGGUUUCACCAUGCACAUCUCAUGAGGGAUAUUGUACGGGGUAAUAAUAACUAGCCAACAAGAAUAUGCAAUUAUUGACUAUUGAAUAUACAGAGUAAAACCAUCAGAGCAUAAUCCAACCCUGACAUUUCUGGGUUUUGCUGCAAAAUCUGGAUGUACUCUAUCAAAGUGUUUCCAUGCCUCGCCAUCAGAUGGAUGUUGCAUCAUGCCAAAACUACUUGUAUUUGUAUCAUGCCAUGUCAUUUGUCUUGCACUAUGAAUUGACGCAAACAUUCUUUGCAAUCUAGGUAUUAUUGGCAGAUAGAACAUGAAUUUCACUACAACUCAUUUUUGCUUUCAAUUAACGCCUUUAUUACGAACUAAAUACCUCAUACUCUGACAAAACUUACAUUCCUCCAAUCCCCCAUCAUGGCUUUCACCAAAGUCUAAAAUAACAACCAUUGUGAAAUGUACAUACAUUUAAUUACAGUCAUUUAUAUCAAUCGUGGUGAAAAGUAUAACAUAUAUUUAAGCAAAAGUUCGCUCUUUUAGGACAUAACACAACCGUCUUUCUAAAAAAAAACCUUAAUACUCUCCCACGCUUUAUCGUUACUCCAUGAACGGUUUCAUAGCACUUCUUCACAAAACUCCAACAUAUCUUCUUCAUCUCUUAUGGAUCAAGAGAUGUGUUUCACAAAACUCAUUUCUUUCACUUUCUCUUCACAUUGAUUAGUGUAAUUUAUUCUACUAAUUUUGUUUGCAAAGUAAAUAAUAUUUUACAAGAGGUGAACGAAGGGGUAGUUGAAGUUCUAAAAAUAUUGAAACAAGAUCUAACCGUAAAAGAGCAAAAUGAGGAUAAUGGAUUGUAGAAAGCUUGUACAACAUUGAUUAGUGUAACUUGUUCUCUAAUAUAAUUUAACAUCUCAUAUUAUAACUUUCUAAAUCAUAUUGAAAGGUUUUUAUUUUUAGUAGGUAGUUGGUAAAAUAAGAAUUCCACAUAAGUUAUAAUAAACUCAAGUAAACAUAUCACUACAGUUGGAAUCAAGGACUAUGGUGAAAUAUUGUGCGCUAAAUAUUUCACUACGGUUGAAUUCUAGAAUUGUGGUAAAAUAUAUUGAAAUCUGCAAAAAAUGCAAGUGCUGAGUAUCGAACCCUUAACCUUGCCCUUUUGUGGUAUGUUACGCGCUACUGUCUUUUUACCAAGGUUACUAGCAUAUGGUUGUAAAGAGGGCACAUACAACUACACACUACCUUACUACAGACCAUCGUCCGUAGUAGAAUCUUUCUCCCAAUCGUGGUAAGAUAUGUAAUAUAUUGUAGUGAAUGUAAUGCAUUUCAAAAUAUUUAGAGUUUUUGUUAAUUCCUGUUUGGUUGAUGUUAUUUUGUUGUUGCUCUAGCAGUCCACCAUCUAAAUUAAAUGAUCUAUAUAGUAUAUGAAUGGUUGAAUAGCCAUCGUGUUAGUGCGUGAAACACUUUUAGUGAGGAGAGAAAGAGAGAGAAAAAGGAAAUAAUGAUUACUAUUAUUGAAGAAUGAUUGUGAUACAAAAAUGAAUUACAAAGUAUCUAUUUAUAUAUAACUACAUGACUUGACUACUGAGUAACAAAUAUAACAACUCUAAAUCCUAAUUAUCUUUGGGCUUGAGCCACACACAAUUUGAAUUAUAUUAUAUCUCGACAUACCCCCCUAUAAUCCAAGUUGUCGAACAACGCUAAUUAUAGUCGAUCUGAAUUAUUUUCAAUUUCUUUCUCAAAUUCAAGAACUUGUCGAUCUCCAAUCCUUUGGUGAAAAUGUCGGCCAACUGUGAUUCACUUGAGCAAUGACUUACUUCAAGUUCACCUCGAUUUACCUUUUCCCCAAGGAAAUGGAAUCUUGCCUCAAUAUGCUUACUCCUUUCACGCAAAAUUGGAUUCUUCGUAAGAUUUAUGCCUGACUUGUUGUUGAUUUGCAGCACCAGAUGUUUCUUCACUUCGACCUCCUUCUGUUGAAGCACAAAUCUGAUCCAAAUUUCUUGACACGCAACAUGAGAUCUUGCUAUAUAUGCAUCCUCACACAAUGACAAUGCCACCACAUGUUGCUUUCUCGAGCACCAUGAGAUUGGUAGCUCGAGGUUUUCUUUAGAGAGAACGUGUCGACUAUUCUAAAGUAUACACAUUAGUAGCAAGAUUGGAGACUGUUCGACUAGUCGCCGCUUUGGCAUGCACUCAAGGUUGGUUGACAUUUCACCUAGAUGUGAAAUCAACAUUUUUGAAUGGUCCUCUAGAUGAAGAGGUAUAUGUCACACAAUCUCUUGGGUUUGUGAUUCAAGAGGAAGAUACAAGCUGCACAAAGCGCUUUAUGGUCUCAAGCAUACAUCUAGAGCAUGGAACAAGAAGAUCAGCUCAUACCAAUUUGUUAGUGAGUGAAAUUUUUUUAAUAAGGAGAGAAAGAGAGAGAAUAAGGAAAUAAGAAUUACUAUUAUCGAAAAAUGAUUGUGAUACAAAACUGAAUUAUAAAGUAUCUAUUUAUAUACAACCACAUGAUUUGACUACUAAAUAACAAAUAUAACAACCCUAAAUCCUAAUUAUCUUUAGAUUUCGGUCACACCCAAUUUAUAUUAUAUUAUAUCUCAAGACAUGACACUCUUUUUUUAAAUACAAUUUUGCUUUAAAAAAUAUCGAACACAUGAUACUCUUUCAUUAAAUACAAUUUUGCUUUAAAAAAUAAUUAUAAAAAAAUGGAAAUUCAAAACAAAGACAUUAAUAUUAACCAACAACUUAUACAUAAUAAUGCAUAUAUAAUAUCACAAUAUAUUUGUAGGAAAAUACGAUAAAUUACCGUUAAUUUGCAAAAUAAGAAAACUAUAUAGUUAUUGUGAACUAGCUAACAUUCAUAUCAAUAUAAUAUGCAUGUUCUUCUACAUGUAACAUAAUCUUAUCACAUCUUUUCAAACACAUCAUCAUCACUAUUAUUUAUUAACAAACUAUAGCACCUUGAAAGCGAUAACCUUCCAACCCAUCUCCACCUUCUAAUUAUUCUCAACAAAAACCACUCUCUCUCACACCAUCACUCAAACCAUUUCUCACUUCUUUCACACACAAAAAAAAAACCUCAAACCUUAUUUUCUCCAAACCUUCACCCAACAAAACAACAACCUUCUCCACCUCAAAACAUGUCGGUAAAAGAGUGCAACCACCACAAAGGAAAGAAACACAAACGCUUCAGAAAAAUCUUCUGGGGAAUCGUAAUCUUCCUCUUCAUCGUCCUCCUCACAAUCCUAAUCACCUGGGCAAUCCUAAAACCUUCCAAACCAUCUUUCAUCCUCCAAGACGUCACCGUCUACGCUUUCAACGCCACCGUUCCAAAUUUCCUCACCUCAAAUUUCCAAGUCACCGUCUCUUCUCGUAACCCAAACGACAAAAUCGGUGUCUACUACGAUCGUCUAGACGCUUACGUCACCUACCGGAGCCAGCAAAUCACUUACAGAACCGCCAUACCUCCGUCGUACCAGGGUCACAAAGACGUUGACGUUUGGUCGCCGUUUGUUUACGGAACCAACGUCCCGGUUGCUCCUUAUAACUUCGUUACUCUUAGUCAAGAUCAGACUAACGGCAACGUUCUUGUUGUCGUUAAACUUGACGGUAGAGUUAGGUGGAAAGUUGGUGCUUUCAUCUCCGGUCAUUACCAUGUUUUUGUUCGGUGUCCUGCUUUUAUUACCUUCGGUCCUCAGAGUAACGGAAUUUCCGUCGGUGAUAGCGGCGCCGUUAAGUAUCAGAUUGUUCAACGGUGCACCGUUAGCGUUUAACGGUAAAGCGACAUCGUUCAGUCAACGCCGUUAAUAUAUUGCAUUUCACUUCUUCCGCUGUUUAACGAUCUUUUUGGUUAUAUUUUCUUCCACGGUAUUUAAAAUUGUACAUUUAAAAUUGUUAUUAUUUAAUGUUAUAUUAUAAUUAAGGUUAUUUUAGAAUAAAAAUGUACUUGGAGCUAUAUGAGAAGCUGAUGGGGGAGAUAUAGAAAAGUUGUAAUAUGUGUUGUUAAUUAGUUGUAAUAUUAUCAUUUGAGCCGAAUCAAUACAUUAAUAAAAAAUAUUUUUUUUUGUGUCAAUUUGGAUAGAAGAUGUAUGAAUGAAGCAUCUAUUGAUAGUGUUAUUUUAUUUUGCUUUCUUCUUUUCUUUAGAAUAUUCAUGAAUAUGUGUAAUGGAUGAUUCAUUUCUUACUUUUUAUUUGGCUUUGAAUCAUUCUCCUUUUGUUUCCUUUUUAUUGGUUAUGCUUACUUAGGCAUGUGUAUAUACUUGCCUAUAUUUUCAGCCACAUGUAGUACUAGUAUAUUGUUGGUUCAAUAGUUAAGAGUGUAUACAUAAUUAAAUGAAACUAAAAUAUUUAUGCAUUUAAGUGUGUCAUUGAGUUGGACUGAAUUGCUUCUCAUGUGAAGUGACUUAUUUUUAGAAAGGAAUAGUAUUUUUGUUUUUUUCACUAAUCAAAUAGUAUAUAUGGAAUAUUAAAAAAAGAAACAUAUAGUUAAUGGAGUUAUUAUCUGUUUUGCUUUCCCAAAAAAUUUGCUAAAAAUAACUAUUCUACAUGAGACUAGUAAUUAACAUACGCACUUAGCAGUUAAUUAGAGUCAAUGAUUGAAGGAUUUGUUUAUAUUCGAUCCACAUGGCAUAGUGGCGGUGGUGGUGGUCCUUUUCAUCAUCCUUACCUAACGGGCUUAAAGAAAUGGUUUUGGCUUAUGUCAUGGCAACGAAUGGAUGCACCUUAUGUUCACCUAUUAUUUAUUUAUAUGAUAAAAUAAUAGAUAAUUUGAUAACAAAAAUUUAAAAGCAAUUAUGUUUACGUAAUUCUAUUUCUAUUGUCACAAACAAACAGAACACAUGGUUAGCAUGAAAGUAGUUUGAACUCAAAGAGAUUUGGUAUUGUGAUCACCGUCAAGAUUGAGCAUAUUGAAAGGAACCUUCUUUGAUUAGUCAACACUCAAAAUCGAUCUCACCAUGUGCAUGUGAUGUGAUGCAACUUUGAUAACGACUCACGACGCUCCAUUCCAUACUCAUCUAUGAAUUUAGAGCAUUCAUACAUUGAAACGUCACCUCUGUAUUAUUGUAUUUGCUUGCUUCUAACGGGACAUUAUCAUCGAUCACAUACUUUAUAUGUUACCAUGUUGAAUUGUCAAUAGCCAGAUUUCUCUCGGUUAGUUUUGUUUUCUCGUUCAAAAUAUUAAAAUUGAUUAACCCCUGAUAUUAGUAAGGGAAUGUCAUAAAUGUAUGGUUGAAGUGUCUCGUUCAAAAUAUUAAAAUUGAUUAACCCCUGAUAUUAGUAAGGGAAUGUUGUAAAUGUAUGGUUGAAGUGUCUGUAAUGGAUAAGAGGUUGCCAUCAAUUAUUGGUGGUCCAAGGUUUCUUCAUAGGGUUGUACGGAUCCCUAUUGUUUUGGUUCUAGCUUCCCUUUUAUAGCAUAAACUUAGCUUAAUUGGUCUAAUGACCAUUUUCACCUUUGUAACGUCAAAACUCUUAAUAAUUGUUAUUGUUCCUUAAUUUAUGUAGGAUGUCGUAACUGACAGAGUGACUUAUCGGAUCCUGUAACAACCAUAAUCAAAAAUAGGAAGCUCAUACCGACUAUUUGGACCUCACUCAAUCUAAGGACAGAGUUCAGGAUGAAGUGGUGACAUGCGCCCGACCUUUCUUUUCGGUUAUGGCCAUAAUAUGCUCCUUGGCUCCUAUUGUUUUAAGAAUGCUCGACAUUUCCGAUUUCAUACCUCGGCCAGCCAGAUAAUUUCUGGAAUGUACAUAAGCCCCCGGGCAUGAAUGCCGAAAGGACGAAAUGUUCGGACAAAAGAAGUCUGAAACAUUAUUUUUUAUUGAAAAUGAGGUGCAACUCGACCUGCUCUUACGCGCAUGCCCUUUCUAAUCUGACACAUUGACGUGAAUGUACGUGACAAAACUUUUAUAACAUGGGGUAUAUCUUUUUUCCAAAUUUUAUCUCUUUCUCUCUCCCGUAACAUAUUUGGAUCUUAUUGAGGUCCUUGGAUUCAUAACAAUGCUUUUAUUUUACUCCCACUGAUAUUUACCUUUCCCUUAGGUCCAGAGCGUAUUUUGUCUUGCUAAGGGGAAGGAUAAGCCCAAGGGUAUUUUGGGAAUUUUUACGAUUUUAAUGAUGUCGGAGAACACUAGGUUUUUAAUAAGGAGUAUGGAGAUUCCUGGUAGUUUCUAGAUAUAAUGUCGUCUUAGAAUCCGACGGGUUCUGGCUACACAGAAGACGGAGAGCCCUAGUGAGGUAUCAACUUUGUAGAACCUGGUUGUUCUUAGAUUUGUAAUAUCUCAUGUAGGUUUUGAGUGAUGUGGUAAUCCAGUCUCUUUUACAGGCUUCCUUUAUAGUACUCUGAUUUAAAUAAGAUUCGAUCGAUCCUAAAUAAUUAUUUUCAAUUUAUAUUCAUUACUAAAGAACUUUUAAUGUCAAAACUCUCAUCAAAAUUUAACUAUUCCUUGGUUAACCUCUGAUGCUAGUAAGGGAAGGUCGUAAACGUAUGGUUGGAGUGUCUGUAAUGGAUAAAAGGUUGCCACCAAUUAUUGGUGGUCCAAGGUUUCUUCAUAGAGUUGCUCUUUUUUAUGUUAUUCAUCGUAUUGAUCCCCUAUUGUUUUAGUUCUUGCUUCCCUUUUAUAGCAUAAACUUAGCUUAAUUAGUCUAAUGGCCAUUAAACACCUUUGUAACGUCAAAAUUCUUAAUAAUCGUAAUUGUUCCUUAAUUUAUGUAGGAUGUCGUAACUGACAUAGUGACUCAUUGGAUCCUAUAACAACCAUGAUCUGAAAUAGGAAGCCCAUACAGGCUAUUUGGACCUCACUCGAUCUAAGGACAGAGUCCGGGAUGUAGUGAUGACAUGCGCCCGACCAUUAUUUUUGGCCAGGGCCAAAAUAUGCUCCUCGGCUCCUAUUUUUUUAAGAAUGCUCGACAUUUUCGAUUUCAUACCUCGGCCUGCCAUAUAAUUUCUGGAAUGUACAGAAGCCCCCAGGCAUGAAUCCCGAAAGGAUGAAAUGUUCGGACAAAAGAAGUCUGGAACAUUAUUUUUAUUGAAAAUGAGGUACAACUCGACCUGCUCUUACACACAUGCACUUUCUAAUCUGACACAAUGACGUGAAUAUACGUGACGAAUCUUUUAUAACAUGGGGUAUAUCUUUUUGCCAAAUUUUAUCUCUUUCUCUCUCCCGUAACAUAUUUGGAUCUUAUUGAGGUCCUUGGAUUCAUAAUAAUUCUUGUAUUUUACUUCCACUGAUCUUUACCUUACCCUUAGGUCUAAAGCGUAUUUUGUCUUGCUAAGGAGAAGGGUAAGCCCCAAGGGUACUUUGUGAAGUUUUACGAAUUUAAUGAUGUCGAAGAAUACUACAUUUUUAAUAAGGAGGCCGAAGAUUCCUGGUUGUUUCUAGAUAUAAUUUCAUCUUAGAACCCGACAUGUUUUGGCUGUAGAGAAGACGGAGAGCCCUAGUGAGGUAUCGACUUUGUAGAACCUAGUUGUUCUUAGAUUUGUAAUACCCCAUGUAGGUUUUGAGUAUUGUGGUAAUCCAGGCUCUUUUACAGGUUUCCUUUUAUAGUACUCUGAUUUAAAUAAGAUUCUAUCGAUCCUAAAUAAUUAUUUUCAAUUUAUAUUCAUUACUAAAAAACUUUUAAUGUCAAGACUCACAUCAAAAUUUAACUUUUGUGUUAAUAUUUAGGUACAUGCAUUAGUUUUGUAGAGAAUUUGUUUUAGAAAAGUAUGGUUUCUUCGACCUCUUCAGUAUUCAAUAUGCACAAUGUGCAUCAAACCAUAUCCAAACUUACAUACAUAAUAAAUUAAUUCAAUAGAAAAAAGAUUUUACCCGAGUCCGUUUACAAAUUUGUAAAUAAAUGAAUUUGUGUUUUCUCUUAUUUAGUAUUCAAUUUUCUACCCAUUAUUAAUUAUUAUGGAUAUCAUGCAGUGGUCAUUGACAAUAAAUAAUUAAUUUCAAAAAACACUAAUUUCAAAAAACACUAAUUUAUAAAUUAUACCACUUACGUGUCAGUUAUAUCUUUUAUCUUUUAUCCUAGAGUUUUUUUUUAUUUCAAAAAACACUAAUUUCUCUUGGUUGUUGCCUUAUUAAUUGGUUAAUCAUUUGUAUAUAUAUUUUAGUUUAGUUGUAAAAAUGUAUCAUUUUGGGUUUGUUGUAAACAAUGUAUUUGGUGUAAAAUAUGUAUUAGUGUCACAAUGUUUUGUUGUAAAAAAUGUAUGUGUGUCAUUUUGUUAUGUUUCAAGAAAUGUAUUUAUAGGUUCUUUUUAAAAAUAUACAGGUUAAAAAGAAAAUAUUAUAUUAUUAUAUAUAUAUAUAUAUAUAUAUAUAUAUAUAUAUAUAUAUAUAUAUAUAUAUAUAUAUAUAUAUAAUAUAUAUAUAAUAUAUAUAUAUAUAUAUAUAAUAUAUAUAUAUAUAUAAUAUAUAUAUAUUAAUAUAAUACAGGGGAUUUCCCAUUGGAUAGAACUCCCAACUGAGGUGGAAAGCCACCUUUCACCUCGGGUAGUAAAAGCAAUCGAGAAAAAAAUGGUGCGCUUUCCAAUUUUAAAAAUAAAAACGAUGCGUUGUUGGGGUACCAACUGAGAUAAAAGUUGUUUUUCGUAGUAGCCCUCCUCUUUAAUUGAAGCUAUAACAUCGAUUUUGACUUUAAUCUUCCCAACUUAAACUGUUACCUAUUGGUUGCCUUAGAAUAAUUUUCAAACCACACAUGUAGAGGGGUAACCCUUAUUCUAAGCCACACAUCUAUUAUGGAAGAAGAAACAACAUCGAACCAAAAGAUCAAAGAUAAGAAGAAUAUUUUCCAAAAAAUAGAUUCCUUAUUUUGAAAAUUUAAAGUUCUCUUUCGACAGAAGAACUUAGCAAGAUAUAGUUUCCUUUAAACUUAGAUAAGGUGGUAUUAAACAUGAAUAAACAUUUGAACACUUCAACAAUACCAAUGACAUAUAUCAUAACACUUAUUCGACAAGUGGACAAUCCUAAACUAGAUUUAGGAUUUUUCACUUUUGUUGAAAAUGAAUGGAGUGAAAAGAGGAAGAAACACUCUUUUCUCCAAUUCUAACCACAUCUUUGAAGGAUAAACCUAUCUCCACCCUCUUCCAUUUGUCUCCCUUAACACCUACCCAACGAUUACCACUUGAAGAACCAAAUAACUUUCCCAAGCUUGUAACACUUUGAAAACUUCUCACAAAAAAUACCAAAUGACUUAUGUUCUAAUCUGGCCAAAGGCCAACCAACCAAUGCCCAAUUCAUUUCAAAUCCAAUUGAUCAAAUGUAUAAAAGUCAAUCCAGACAAAAGAAUAAGGUACACUCUCUGAUCUCCAAUUUACACUGUACUCAUCUUAAAUCUUGAACUUACUUGGGCAUUCACUACUACAAAUAAUCCCAUUUCACCUCAGACACGAAGAGGAUAUAACCUCGACUAUACAUGCGAGGUAACGAAGGGCAACAUUAAAAUCCACCACUUUACCCUUUAUUUUGAAUAACUGAGGGGAAAAGUGGCACUGGUCAUGGGUUUGAUCCCCAACAACUGUAUUUUUUGGAUUUUCAAAACGGCGCUACUUUUUACCUCGGAUUUUAACAAUAACUGAGGGGUAAAGUCAUCUUUAUAAAUCCUUUUUUAACCUUUUUUUUCGUUUUAAUCUACAAAACAUCAAUUUUUUUGACAAAUUCUAAAUCAUCAUCACCAUCAUCAUCAACAACAACACCAAUAACAACAACAAAAAUAAAAAUCAAUAGAAUCCUUAAAUAUUAAAUCUCAAGAACAACAACAACAACAACAAUAAUAACAACAACAACAACAAAAUCCAUGAAAUCUUUAAACAUUAAAUCUCAACAACAACAACAACAAGAACAACAAUAACAACAACAACAACAAAUAAACAAAAUCAAUAGAAUCGUUAAAUACUAAAUUUCAACAACAACAACAACAACAACAACAAUAUAAACAUUUUACUUGAUACAACUACAACUAACAUUAAUAAGUUACUUUCAUGUUUUCCUAACUAACAUUAAACAUUUUAAACAAAAAUUACUAGAUAAAAUAUUACGUUAAGAAACUAACCAUGAAAUAUUUUUCUGCUCUUUCUUUCAUUAUCAUUAUUUUCGAUAUGUUAAGUUUAAAUUUCAGUACUUUGCAUCCAAGAUGGAUAAUUGUGGCAUUCAUAUUUUGAUUGGCUAGUGAGAGUUUCACGCGUAUCACUAAUGUUUCAUUUGGAUUGAUGAUUUGACAAUGAUUGUUACUUUAUAAAUGAACGUCAAAGAUUCACUACUUAAUUUUUUUCAUCAAGUUGAUCAUAAAUAAAUAAAAAAUACGCUACUUUACCCCUCGGUUUUCAGCAAAACUGAGGUAAUACGUCAUAAUUUUAAAAUAAUAAUAAUUAAAAGGUGAUAAAAUAUAGUUGAUGGGAUUCAAAGACGCAUCCUCUAAAUACUUUACCCCUCGGUUUUCAGCAAAACCGAGGUGAUAAGUCAUAAAAAAAUAAAAUUAAAAUGUAAUAAAAUGUAGUUGCUUGGAUUUGAAGACGUGUCCUCUAAAUACUUUAUUCCUCGGUUUUCAGUAAAACUGAGGUAAUAUGUCAUACAAAAAUUAAAAUAUGUUAAAAUAUAGUUGUUGGAAUUCGAAUGCGUGCCCUCUAAAUAUUUACCCCUCGAGUUUCAGCUAAACCGAGGAAAUAUAUGGUAUUUAAAAAAAAGUGAUGCGUCUAUGGUUUACACCUCGGUUAGAGUGCUAACCAUGCAUAUCCACCCUGCGCUGCUGCAACGGAGAUCAACACCACUGUCUCAAGACAUUUAUUUCACCAACUACAUCCAUUUAUGGUUCAUAAACAAAACAACUUCUAAACUUGAAAUUGUCAAACCAUACACCAUAAAGUUGAUCAUAGAUCUUGUUAAUAUUUAAACUCAACCAACAAACAACAAAGGUAUUAUUCCUAUGUGUGCCACAUUUUAACUUUAAAAAAACCAUUUAUUCCCUCGGCUGGGGGAACAAACGAUAUGUAAAGUGGGUUAAGUAUAAUGCUUUAAAUCCCAGUUCUUGCAACUUUUACUUUUAUUUAUUUUUUAAUUGGGUUUUUUUCUCUCUUAUUUUUUACUUCUAAAUUAAACAAAAUACAUUUAUUCCCUCGAUUGUAGGAAACAACUGAUCGGAAAAGUGGCUCAGGGACAAAGCUUCAGAUUCGACUUUUGUAUUUUUACUUUUAUUUUGUUUUCUAUUGGUGUUUUUUUAUUAUAUCUAUUCCCUCGGUUGGAAGUUCCAAUCGAGAUGGAAUAUUAGCUUUUCAUUAUAAUUGAUGUUUUUCUCUUUUGUUUCUUCAAUUUAUCUAUUCCCUCUAUUUGCAGUUCCAACCGAGAGGAAAUCUUAACUUUGCAUUUCAAUUGGUGCUUUUCUCUCUUUUGUUUUUUAAGUUAUUUAUUUUCUCGACUGUAAGUUACAACCGAGAGGAAUACCUUUUUCUAGGUAUUUUUUAGAACUAAACUUCAGCUUUUGUUUGCAACUUUGAUUUUCAUCUUCUUUUCUCAUGCAAAACCUAAAGGUCGCUAAACUGAAAGAUACCCUAGAAAAUUUUCAUCUCCAUCUUCUCCAUCAAAACACCAUAAACAUAAAUCUAAAAUCAGUUUCCAUAAAUUUAUUACGAAACUUCAGAUCUUUCAACAUAUGUACAUGUUUUAAUCUUCCUUUCAUCUCUUUCAAAUGACAUUGAAGCACAAACGAAACUGAAACGAAGGAAAGACAACAAAACUUGAAUGGAGAUUCCUCCACCAUUAUCAUAUCUUCUUCAACGCAUUUUUUGGUGUAUAGAUCACUUUGUCGAUGCACAUAACAUAGAAAUGAUAUUUUUUCUUAUUCUGGAUUGCUUAUUGCUUAUUAAUUAUGUUGAAGGAAGUUGUUUUUUGUUGUUGUUAUUUUUCAAUUGUUUGAAUCUGAAUUAAAUGCAAUGCAAGUAUACACUGCUAAUGAUUUGGUUCUAAGCACUUGUGUGGAUGUGUUGAUUUCAUUUCUAAUAUCAAAAUUAAACUCUAAACCAGACAUAUUGGUUGGAUGAGAGAAUUAUGUUUAGCUUGCCUCUACCUUCUAUGUGUUGCAUUUUCUUCUUAAUUUCCCAUUGAGUCACUUGGUAUCCUAAAGACUCUUUUUUAACUUUUACUCUGGUCAAAAACUCGAAUUAACCUCUAUGAAUUCCUUAGUGUACUAUGUUUUAUAAUUGGCGUGCUCCCACUUUUUAAACUAAUGGAAAAGGGUUUUGGUUAAUGUGGUUGUGUUAUCCCCGUUUAUUAUAUAUAGUUUAAAGAGGAUUCUUAAUAUCAUAUAUAUUCUCUCUAGCCCUCUUAUUCAUUUGGUACCUUCAUAUUGCAUGCACUUUUGUAUUCUUCCCAUAUGUACCAUGAGUCACAUUAGGUGCCUUUUUUGAUAUUGUGUUAAGUAAAAUGAAGAAUGUUGUUGUUUUUUAAAUAGAUAGUUAAGAGAUUUAUCCAACACCUCUCCUAUAAAUGAGGGUUCUCCUAUUCAACAUAAAAGGACCUGAAAUUCUAGAAGUGCCACAAUUAUGAUAUGGUUAACAAAAGUCUUCAACACAUGUAUUAAGAUGCAGGAUAAUUUUGAUUAAUAAAAUGGUAGGUGUUAUGAUCCACAUGCUACGUUAUUUAGGAGUUACAUGACAUUACUUGGUCUAAGUAAAACGAGUAUUUUGAUAGAAGAUUGGGGUCAGGUAGAACCUGAAGUGAAAGAAAGUAUAUGGAUAAAUGUUGUCAUAAAAUAUUUACUUUGAAGUACAUUGUUUGAUCUUACAAGUAUGUAUGAGCAUUUUUUUUGUUUAAUACUAAUACCAACUUUAUGAUUUAAAUGUAAGAUAUUUUUGAGGUUUUAGAUAAUGAUAAAUUAAAAAAUAAAUGGAUUUUAUAUGUUGGCAAGUGUUUGAAGGGCUUCAAGACACAACUCAUAACACAAAACCUCUACCUAAGAUGUACAAUUAUAUAGAUUAGGAGACUUGUGAUAAGUUUGUCAAGUAUUGUAACUCUCAGGAAUUCUAAGUUGGUAGUAAUCUUUAUGUAUAUUUUAGUCCUUUUUAAAUAGAUGAUCAGUGCAUUUUGAUGCACAUUAUUCUAUAAUUGUACUUAGACAUUUAUCUAGUUUAUUUUGCUUAUUUUACUAUUUUAUUAUGUUUUUAGAUUUAAGUUCAUGUUUGUCUUUAAUCUAUUUUCGUUUGCUAUUUUCAGUUUUAGCGGUUAUUUGAUACAUGUCCACUGUUCGGAUCAUAACUUGAGCUACGGGAUACCGUUUUGCAAGUUCUGACAUGCGUUGGAAAGCUAAAAGAAAGAGCUACAAGUUUUAUGUUGAAUCCAAAAGCUGAUUCGAAGUGAAGACGUCUCAAAUAAUUUGUUAAAGUUUCGUACUUUAGGAAAUAUUUUCUUUUGGGCCAUUUGUUGGGCCGAAUUUAGGUUUUCCGGCCCAGUUUGAAUUAUAAGUAAAACCCUUAUUCUGUUUAAAAGAGAAGCCACGGUACUGUAGCAAAUACACAUUAUUCCCAAUAACAUUUUGCUUUUGUGCGAUCAUGAAGAGGAACUAAUCUCCUAGAGUUAAUCUGCUGUAAUAGAAUUUCCAAGGCUUUGAGGUUUUUAUUCUAUCAAUUUAAUUUCGUUCUCUUUCAAUUCUAUUCUAUGAAAUUUCAUUUGCUUAAUCUGUAUUUUAUGGAAUGGUUUUGAUUAAAUUCGUAUGAUUGAUAUGAAAUUUCAUUUGCUUAAUCUGUAUUUUAUGGAAUGGUUUUGAUUAAAUUCGUAUGAUUGCAUUCCUAACUAUUAAUCGCCGUUUUCGUCGCUUUGUCGUUAAAUUGCAUUUGUAAAUCGUGUUCGUUUAAUUCAUGAUUAUAUUUAUCCGUUUGCUUAAUUCGGAAUAUAGGAAUAUAAAUCUGUCAUAUAUCUAUUGCGCUUGUUAAUUGAAUUUGAACCGAAUAGAGAUCGAAGUCGCUUAGGAAUUCGGUAGGUAAAAACCAAUGAUUAGCCGGAAACCGAAAACAAUAGAUUGGCUUAUUUUAUAAUCGCUUAUUUUAAUCACUUUUUUUUGCUUAGUUUUCUAAAUCGAAUACUAAACAUAAACCCCCCUUAAAUCGAUUUCAUUAGGUUAAGAAUAAUACAAGAAUCCUUGGGAUACGAUACUCGAGUUGUCGCUUCCGCUAAACUACAAUUUUCUAAUUACUCGUCUUGACCCGUGCGCGACAGCGGAUCAAAUUGGCGCCGUUGCCGGGGAUUCUUGUAUAUUUUAACCAUUAUUAUAGUCUAACUAUUAUUAUAGUCAUAGGUGUUGUGUUUUAACAUUUUUUUCCCUAACUUUCUUGUGUUCUGGUGUUUUUGCGUUUCAGGAUAAAAAAAUCUGUUUUUUUAAGAAAAUCGUCUCAAAUUAUCCCGGUUCUUUGUCGAUUAACUAGGAAAAAAUCAAGGAUCAAAAGCCUCUAUUUAGGGAAAUCAUCCUAAAAACCCGAAAUUCCUUAUUUUUCUAUCUUUUAUGAUUUUUUUCUGUUUUGAUAAUUUCAGAAAAUUCUGAAAAAAUUCUCAAAAAUUUUAAUUGACGUUAUUAGAUUAAGUUUUGUGUUUUUGUAUUUUUUUCCUUUUAUUUUAAUAGUUUUUUUUACGUAUUUAAAUUGUUUGUUCUUAAUAGGGACAUUGUCGGUAUUUUCCUAUUUGUUGCUGCAUUGCUGAAUUAGUUAUGUGUUUUCUCAUUGUUUGUUGAUUUUUUUCUAUUGAGUUUAAUAUGGAUGACCAAAGAACUUUGAGAAAACUUGUUUCUCCUGAUAUGAAUUACAAUGGUUUAUGUAUUGAGUAUGCUGAUGUUACUGUUCCUUUUGAGUUGAAAUCUGGUUUAAUACACUUGUUGCCAAGGUUUAGUGGUCUUGCAGGUGAGGAUCCGUAUAAGCAUCUUAAGGAAUUUCAGGUUGUUUGAUCUACACCAUUGAGACCUGAAGGAAUCACCGAAGAUCACAUCAAGCUGAGAGUCUUCCCGUUUUCACUACAAGGUGCUGCCAAGGAUUGGUUAUAUUAUCUUGAGUCGAAUUCUGUCACGACUUGGAAUGAUUUGAAGAUAGUCUUCCUAGAGAGAUACUUUCCUGCCUCCAGGGCUGCAUCAAUCUGAAAAGAAAUAUGUGGUAUUAGACAGGGAAAUGAGUCAUUGGCUGAGUAUUGGGAGAGAUUCAAACAAUUAGUAUCUAGCUACCCUCAACAUCAAAUUACCGAACAACUGCUUAUUCAGUAUUUCUAUGAGGGAUUGUUACCAAUGGAUAGAAACAUUCUUGAUGCUGCUAGUGGUGGAGCACUUGUCGAUAAAACUCCAAUUGCUGCUAAAGCCCUGAUUGAGAACAUGUCACUUAACUCCCAACAAUUCACAACCAGAAAUAAUUCUAUGGUCCAAACAAAAGGUGUGAAUGACAUUCAGGUUUCCUCUUCCAACAAGGCUUUAGAAACCAAAAUUGAAGAGCUUACUUCUUUAGUGAAAUAAAUGACAGUGAGUAAACCUCAAACAACAAAGUUUUGUGGUAUUUGUACUUCUAUUAUACAUCCAACUGACACAUGUCCUAUUCUUCAAGAUGAUUCAGUCAUUCAGUUGCCUCAAGCAAAUGCAGCUAACUUUUUCAACCAAAGCAACAAUCAGAGAGGGUACAACAUUCCUGACUUAUCCACCAACAAAUAUCAUCCCAAUUGGAUGAACCAUCCAAACCUUCGAUAUGGAAACCAAUAGCCCACCCAACAACAAUUAGUCAUACCCCUGCCACAACCACAUACCACUCCCCAAGUCUCCACCUCUGCACCUUCCGGGCCUUCAUUGGAGGAUCUUGUCAAGCAAAUGGUUGUUAACAAUCUCCAAUUUCAGCAACGAACAUAUUCCAGUAUUCAGACUUUGCAGACACAGAUUAGACAGCUUGCCACUUCGAUGAAUGCCAUGCAGCAAGCCCAAGGAUGAAACCAACUUCCUGCCCAAAUAGUUGUGAAUCCAAAAGGACCUAAUGCUAAUGUGAGUGCAAUUUCCUUGAGAUCCGAGAAGGUAAUAGAACCAGCCCCUGAAAAAAAUAAUUUUUUUUGAGGUAACACCUGAACCUUCUUCCGUUGUGAUAGAAAUUGAACCCUUUGUUGUGGUAGAGACUGAAAAAGAAAAAGAGAAGGAGUAUGUGCCACUAGUUCCCUUCCCACAUAGAAUAUUGAAAAAUAAAAGGACUAGUGAUGGAGACAAGGAGAGAGAGAGAUUUUAGAUGUGUUAAGAAAAGUGGCGAUAAACAUUCCGCUUCUUGAUGUUAUUAAGCAGGUUCCAAAGUAUGCAAAAUUUCUAAAAGACUUAUGCACAAGUAAGAAAAGGUUGAAGGGAAAUGAGAGAGUAAAUUUGGGAAGAAACAUUUCAGCCCUUAUCCAGCCUAAACAUUCACCUGAAAAAGCUAUUGUUUCAUCCCUCAAUCAGGCCAUACCCCUAAAGUGCAAGGAUCCAGGAACUUUUGCUAUUCCAUGUACCAUUGGGGAUAGUAAAUUCGACAAUUGUAUGCUUGAUUUGGGAGCAAGCAUUAACGUUAUGACUACUUCUGUUUAUAAUAACCUUGAUCUUGGUCCUUUACAACAUACAGGUUUAAUCAUUCAACUAGCGAACAUAAGUAAUGCUCAGCCUAUUGGAGUAGUGGAAGAUGUGCCUGUUCAAGUUAAUGACUUGAUUUUUCCUGCAGAUUUCUACAUUCUGGACAUGUAUGGAGAAACAAAUUCAAGCAGAUCGCCCAUCAUUUUAGGCAGAUCGUUCAUGAAAACGGCGAAAAUAAAAAUUGAUGUCGACGAUGGAACCAUAUCCAUGGAAUUUGGUGACAUUGUCGCAAAAUUUAACAUUUUCGACGCCAUGAAACAUCUCUUGGAGGAGCAUUAUGUCUUUCAUAUUGAAUUUAUCUCUGACUUGGUUGAUGACACUUUUUCUGAAUUGUUUUCACUUGAUUUUCCAUCUCUAUCUGGGUUUGAUGAUGUUUAUUCAUGUGAUGAUUGUACCGACACUAACCUUUGUGUUAUAUGUGUUGCGAUUGAUGUUGCCUUGCAGGGUGAUAGUAGAAACGAAGUUGUUUAUGUGGCUGAAGCUCUUGACAUUCCGGCUGCCCCAAACAUAUCAUCCAUUAAACAACCACAUUCUUUAGAGCCUAAACCACUUCCCGAUGAUUCAUAUUAUUCAUCAAAGCUUCAACUUAAGCAGAAAUAUAAGAAGGGAAUUGGAUGGACCUUGGCUGACACUCGUGAUAUUAGCUCAUCCAUAUGUAUGCAUAACAUCUCACUUAAAGAUGAAACAAAAGUAGUGAGGCAGCCCCGUAAUCCUUUAAUUCUUGAUGCUAUGAAAAAUGAGAUCUCUUUCACGUGUCCAUUCAACACUUUUACUUAUCGAAGAUAAUUUUUUGAUCCUGGAAUACAAGGCAAAUGCACUAAUCAAAAUUUCAAGGUCAAUGGACAUUACCUAAAGCUACUCCAUGAGAACCCGAAUUUGGAAGAAGAGACUGUAGAAGAGCUCUCUUUGGGAAUGGCUGCUUAUGCGAUCAUUUAUCUGUCUUGACUCCUCGGGUGUGUUCUUUCCUUUCUCUCACUCUUAUUUUAUAUUUAUGCUCUUUCAUUGAGGACAAUGUAUGUUUUAAGUGUGGGGAGGGAACCAUUUAUUUGUUUUGUUUUCUUUGUUUUGUUUUCAGUUUUUCUCUAUUUUGGUUUUUGUUUGCUUUCUUAAAAAAAAUUGCAUGCUUUUUCCUUUCGUUUUUGAGUUACAAUUAUGAGUAUUUUUCUUAGUUCUCUAGACUAAAGUCUUGUGGUGUGAUGUGAAAAAUUUGAUGUGCAUUUUUAGUAUGAUAGGUAGGACUAGACUCUAAAUUGUAUAUCUUUAGUAGUAGAUCAUUAACCCUGGUGAGCUUUGAGCCUUAUAUGGAUAACAUACAAAAAUUCAUCUCUUUCUUUCUUGUGUGAUUCACCCAUGUCUGUUGGUCUCUAGAUCUUGAAUUGACUCUUGUCAUUGCUGUUGUUUACUUGUACACACUAAUAUGAUAAAGACAAUUUUGUUUUCUUUUAUUUUUUUAGAUAGUUAGCCAAAAAGCCAACCCUAAAAUAAUUGCAUCCCUUGUUUGAAACCUCCUUGAGCCUAUUAUCCUUUUUUUAUUUAAAACUCAUUACAAGUCGAGAAGUAAAAAACAAUGUUAUCACCCUAUUCAAAGGGUUGAAAAAGUCAUGUUUGGAGUUGUGUGGGGUUGAAUAAUUAUGUUUGUAAUAUUUCAGAAGUUGGCAGGAAAAGAAAAAAAAUAGAAAAGAAAAAAAAGGAAUGAAAAAAUAGAAGGAUAAGAGGAAGAAAAAAUAGAAGGAUAAGAGGAAGAAAAAAAAAGGAAUUAUGUUUGUAAUAUUUCAAUACAUGUCAAUACAUACUCCUUUAAAAAAAGGAAUAAAAAGAGGAAGGAGAAGAGAAAACAAUUGCUAUAGAGUUGUUCAAGUGAAUGAAAUAUUUUGUAAAUUCAACUCCCGUAGUUUCUUUCAAGUCUCUUUUAUCUCUUUGAAUUUUAGCCUAGUACCCCUUAGGUUUAUCUCACCCUUACCUUGACCACUUUACAACCAAAUAAAAGUCCUUUUGAUCUUUGUGUGCAUGUAUUUCAACUGUGGAUGUUAGAGUCCUUUCAAGUUUAUGGUAGUACUAAUUUUCAUGUUGUUCUUUGAGUCUAAACAGUUAAUCUAAACACUUGAGAGUUGAGUGAAUUAUAUCUUGUGAGGAUCUUACUGCUGUUGAUGUACUUUUUAGUAAUCUGUUUUUCUAUCUGCUUUGAAUGCCACAAAAACAUACUUACUAACACCAUAUUCUUGAAGCUUAGACUUAGAAUUAUGCUUAUACUUUGUAUCUUGAAAACUUUUGGAAGUGCAUGCUCUGUUUUCUUUCCUUUUGUUUUGAAAUUGUAAUUUUGCUCGGAGUGCAAAAGUUCAAGUGUGGGGGAAUUUGAUUAGUGCAUUUUGAUGCAUAUUCUUCUAUAAUUAUACUUAGGCAUUUAUCUAGUUUAUUUUUAUUAUUUUACUAUUUUAUUAUGUUUUUAGAUUUAAGUUCAUGUUUGCCUUUAAUCUAUUUUCGUUUACAAUUUUCAAUUUUAGCAGUUAUUUGAUACUUGUCCAUUGUUCGGAUCAUAACUUGAGUUACGGAAUGCCAUUUUGCAAGUUAUGACAUGUGUUGGAAAGCUAAGAGAAAGAGCUACAACGUUUACGUUGAAGCCAAAAGCUGAUUCGGAGUUCAGACAUCUCAAAUAAUUCGUUGAAGUUUCGUACUUUAGGAAAUAUUUUCUUUUGGGCCAUUUGUUGGGCCGAAUUUAGAUUUUCCGACCCAGUUUAAAUUAUAAGUGAAACCCUUAUUCUGUUUAAAAGGGCAGCCGCGGUACUGUAGCUAAUACACAUUAUUUCCAAUAACUUUUUGCUUUUGUGCGAUCAUGAAGAUGAACUAAUCUCCUAGAGUCUAUCUACUGUAACCGAAUUUCCAAGGCUUUGAGGUUUUUAUUCUAUAAAUUUAAUUCGUUCUCUUUCAAUUCUAUUCUAUGAAAUUUCAUUUGCUUAAUCUGUAUUUUAUGGAAUGGUUUUGAUUAAAUUCGUAUGAUUGCAUUCCUAACUAUUAAUCGCCGUUUUUGUCGCUUUGUUGUUAAAUUGUGUUUGUAAAUCGUGUUUGCUUAAUUCACGAUUGUAUUUAUCCGUUUGCUUAAUUCAGAAUAUAGGAAUAUAAAUCUGUCAUAUAUCUAUUGCGCUUGUCAAUCGAAUUUGAACCGAAUAGAGAUCGAAGCCGCUUAGGGAAUUGAUAGGUAAAAACCAGUGAUUAGUCGGAAACCGAAAAUAGUAGAUUGGCUUAUUUUAUAAUCGCUUAUUUUAAUCAUUUUUUUGCUUUGUUUUCUAAAUCGACUACUAAACAUAAACCCCCCUUAAAUCGAUUUCAUUAGGUUAAGAAUAAUACAAGAAUCCUUGCGAUACGAUACUCGAGUUGUCGCUUCCGCUAAACUACAGUUUUCUAAUUACUCGUUUUGACCCGUGCGCGACAGGGGAUCAAUAGAAACCUACUAAUUAAAAACCACUAUGUUUAUAAUACACUAAGAGUCAAAGAGGAAAGGAAAAUAAAGCUAUAAAUAUCGAUUCACACAGAUUUUCUCAUGGAGGAUAUGGAAAAAUGGAGGAUACAAUGAUUAAUGAAAAAAGAUAAAACAUACUACAACAAUUAGAAGAUGCUUCACUAAGCCUAGAUCACGGCCUAUUUCCACCAUCACCCUGUGAGAAAUGAAAGAGAUCACGACAAAGACCAAGAGAAGAGUUCAUAUCACAUGUUACAUACGUAGUUGCUGAGAAGAUUGUAAGUAUACUCUUUUGUCUAGAAUAUUAAUUGUAGCUAAUUCACAUUGGAGUAGUUAAAUUUUAUUUGUGUUGUAGGAUUCGUUGGUUGAAAAAGUCAAUGAAGUGUUCCACAACCACGCCAUGGCAUAUUAGUAGAAGUCAUUGUAACAAAGAAGCAAUGGGGCGUGACCGUGGUAUUGGAUGAGACGUUAACUCGAGACAAUACUUUGGAUCAUCUUAAAAGACUAAAGAAUUGCGCCAAAAACAGAUUCAAGAGUUGGUUGACCAGAGACUUGAAGAAAUAUUAAAAAAUGAAUUUGGCAUUGUGAGGGAGUGUGACCCGGUAGGUUAUUGAGGUGAGUAUAAAUUUAGUUUUGGAACUUCCAUUUUUUUGUCUAUUUAAAAUACGUGUUGUGUGUUGGUGCUAUUUAUAGUCUUCAAAAUAUGUGUUUUAUUGUUAUUUUUAUGACGCAGAGAUUGAAAUCGACGAGUCUACUCGUUCAACCAAAUACUAAUUCGUUAUAAUUUUUUAAGAAAAUUAUUUUGGAUGGUGCAAGCACGAAAGAUAUUUGUUUAUCCUCCUAACACAAGAAUGAAACCCCAGUUCCUCAUCCGGAUCCAAUGGAAAGAUUGUCAAGCAUGAUCAAAUAUAUGGAAGAUGAAAUCAAAACACAAUUAGAGAAUGAUCUCGAGCAUUGUUAAGUUUUUUUCUUCAUCACUAUAUUAGGGGUCUUAUGUGGAAUACUGGUUAGCUGAAUAUAUCUUUACUAAAAUUUUGGUACACAUAAGUACAUAUUUUACAGUGAUUUCAAUUUAUAUUAGUGAUCUGAGAUGCAUUUAAUAUCAAAAAUCACUUCAAUAUUUCAAUUUUGUUUUAACAUUUAGGUACAUACAUCAUUUUGGUAUUGAAAUAAAUAAAACAGACGUGUAUGGAUUUUUGGACUCCUACAUUAUUCACUAUACAAGGAAUCAAUCAAGGGACAUCCAAACUUAUAAACAAAAUCACUUAGUUCAGCCGAAUAAAGUUUGUAUCCUAACAUCAUUUAUAUGUUAGUAAGUAUAUAUGAAUUUGUAUUUUCUCUUAUUUAGAAUUCAAUUUGUACUCAUUAUUAAUUAUUCUAGUGUUCAUGUAGUGGUCAUUGACAGUUAAAAAUUUAUGUCCUAAGAAAAAUAGCGUAUUUAUGUUAUGUUCGUUAGGCAAAGAGUUUGAUUCAAUGAUAAAAGAUAUAAUUAGUGCGUAAGAGGUAUUUUUGUAAUACUAAAAUAUUUAUUUUACUUUUGAAUAUUUUUUUAUUAAUUUUAAAUAUUUUUUCCAUAAUAUAGAGUUGUGGAGGGACACAAUAUAUGUUGUGGUGUUAUAAAUAAAAAACUUAUUUUUUUUUCCUAAAGUAAGUAGUUUUAUUUGUGACAUUCUUUUAUUUUUCCUAAAUUAAUACUUAUGUUUUUUGUGUAUUAACCAAUAUAUAAAAUUUAUUUGUAGACGAGACUACAACAAAAAGGAUAUGAAUGUGGAUAUAAUAUGAUGAAACAUAUGUUAAAUGUUGUCUCAGUCAACAUUAUUGAUUCAUGGAAGGAGGUAAUCAUUUUAUCCAUGCAUGUAAUUUAUUCUUGUUAGUUGUUUAUGUUGUUGAUGUUGUGUUAAAUAAAAGGUUUAACGUGGUGGUUGUUAUUAUGGUUGAGAUUGAAUGUUUAAAUGUUUAAUGUCGUUGUUGUUGUUAUUGUAACUAAUAAAGUUAAUGCUGUUGUUGUUAGGUAGCACUACGCCAAAAACUGGAAUAGACAGCGCACCUUAGAGGGCGCUUUAUUACAAAAGCGCUCUCUAAAGUGAAGCGAAAAAAUAAGGAGCAAUAGACAGCGCACUUUAGAGGGCGCUUUUGUAUAAUGUGUUUAUACCUUUUUCUUUUUAUGCAACUGACUCGAUUUGCUGCGAUUCCCCUAUAUUUUUGGUCCCUUAUCUUUGAAGAUAGAAUUGAUAUAUGUGUUAGAUUGGACAUGGUUCCAUUGUCGUGUAGAGGAUCUUUCAAAUACUCAGCAUCAUCUCUACGCGAAUGAGGCUGACGACAUAGAAGCAUCUCCAUCUAAACAAAUAUCAAUUGAUACUUCCGAGCAUCCUUGCCCCUUGCACGAAUGAUUGACUCUAAUGCCAUUUUACCUGUAAAAAGAAAACAAUUAAAAUAGAGACAAAUGUAAAAACAAUUAAAAUCAUAAUAUCAAUAAUUGUGUUUAACUAUUUUCUUUUUAUGCAACUGACUCGAUCUGCUGCGUAAUUCCCUUAUAUUUUUGGUCCCUUAUUCUUGAAGAUAGAAUUCAUAUAUGUUUAGAUGGACAGUUCCAUUGUCGUUAGGCAUACUUUCAAAUAUCCAGCAUCAUCUCUACGUGCGAAUGAGCUUGACGACAAUAGAGCAUCUCCAUCUAAACAAUAUCAAUGAUACUUCCGAGCAUCCCUGCCCCUUGCACGAUGAUUGACUCAUAAUAGCCAUUUACCUGAAAAAGAAAACAAUUAAAAUCAGAUGACAAUGUAAAAACAAUUAAAAUCAUAAAUAUCAUAUAAUUGUGUUAUACCUUUUCUUUUUAUGCAACUGACUCGAUUUGCUGCGUAAUCCCCUUAUAUUUUGGUCCCUUAUCUUGAAGAUAGAAUUGAUAUAUGUUUAGAUGGACAUGUUCCAUUGUCGUAGAGGGAUACUUUCAAAAUCCAGCAUCAUCAUCUACGCGAAGGGCUUGACGCAAUAGAGCAUCUCCAUCUAAACAAAUAUCAAUUGAUACUUCCGAGCACCCUUGCCCUUGCACGAAUGAUUGACUUCAUAAUAGCCAUUUUUACCUAUAAAAAAGAAAAACAAUUAAAAUCAGAUGACAAAUGUAAAAACAAUUAAAAUCAUAAAAGUCAUUUACCUGUAAUAAAGAAAAUAAUAAAAUAAACAAAAAACAAUUUCAGAAGAGUUCAAAACACAUUCGGACCUAGGUUCUAAUGAUACUGGUGUUGACACAAAAUCAUAUGUUCAUAGGUCGUAUAACCCUAAACUACUGGGGUGUAGUCCCAUUGCAUGCGCUAUCAUGGUCACUAAAAACAACCGUCAAUAACAUAAAACAGGUUGAAAACAAAUGUAGUCCCAUUGCAUGCGCUCAGUUCAUAGGUCGUAUACCCUAAUAAACCCAAACUAUUUAAAUGACUAUGAAUAUUGAAACUUUACAGGUCGAAAACAAACGCUAGCAUAGACAACAAUAACAUAAAACAGAAAUGGCAAAGCUAAACAAAGCAAUAACAUAAAACAGAAAUUGGGCAAAGCGGUGACCUUUGAUUGGUUAGAAGGAGGAAACGCGCCAGUAAUAUGUAGAUCUAACGAGGUGGAAGAAAACGCUCUUAGAACCUAACGUGAAAAAAACGAAAAAAUAUAACAGAUAGUGAAAUAAACAAACGCGCAGUAUUUUAUAAUUUUAAUGUUACUAAAGGGGACUUAGAGGGCCGCUUGUGGGAAAAAAAGCGCCCUCUAAAGGGCCUAAGAGGCGCUUAUGGAAGCGCUCUCUAAGGCUUUCCAGAAGCGCUCUUAUAAGCUGGAAAUGCACAUGGACUUAUAACAGCGCGCUUAUACAAAGCGCGCCCUCUAAGGGUAACCUUAGAGGGCGCUUUACAAAAAGCGCCCUCUAAGGGUAACCUUAGAGGCGCUUAUAAAAAGCGCCAUGUAUUGUGUCCCUCUAUCUCCUCCUUAUAUCUCUCUCNNNNNNNNNNNNNNNNNNNNNNNNNNNNNNNNNNNNNNNNNNNNNNNNNNNNNNNNNNNNNNNNNNNNNNNNNNNNNNNNNNNNNNNNNNNNNNNNNNNNNNNNNNNNNNNNNNNNNNNNNNNNNNNNNNNNNNNNNNNNNNNNNNNNNNNNNNNNNNNNNNNNNNNNNNNNNNNNNNNNNNNNNNNNNNNNNNNNNNNNNNNNNNNNNNNNNNNNNNNNNNNNNNNNNNNNNNNNNNNNNNNNNNNNNNNNNNNNNNNNNNNNNNNNNNNNNNNNNNNNNNNNNNNNNNNNNNNNNNNNNNNNNNNNNNNNNNNNNNNNNNNNNNNNNNNNNNNNNNNNNNNNNNNNNNNNNNNNNNNNNNNNNNNNNNNNNNNNNNNNNNNNNNNNNNNNNNNNNNNNNNNNNNNNNNNNNNNNNNNNNNNNNNNNNNNNNNNNNNNNNNNNNNNNNNNNNNNNNNNNNNNNNNNNNNNNNNNNNNNNNNNNNNNNNNNNNNNNNNNNNNNNNNNNNNNNNNNNNNNNNNNNNNNNNNNNNNNNNNNNNNNNNNNNNNNNNNNNNNNNNNNNNNNNNNNNNNNNNNNNNNNNNNNNNNNNNNNNNNNNNNNNNNNNNNNNNNNNNNNNNNNNNNNNNNNNNNNNNNNNNNNNNNNNNNNNNNNNNNNNNNNNNNNNNNNNNNNNNNNNNNNNNNNNNNNNNNNNNNNNNNNNNNUUAUAUGAUAUUUAUGCAUAGAAAAUGUUAAUUCUUGAUCUUAUACAUCACCUAACUAAUUUUAUGAUAUUUUAGGUUCAUGCUAUUGAUAUUGAACAAAAAGAGGUUGUUGCUAAGAAGACUGUUGCUACCAAAAAAAACAUACAUCUCAGAGAUGCUUUUGCUACUUAGUUUUAUUUCUUUUUAAGUUAUGAAUUGGUUGUAUAUAGAAUCUUUAGAAGUUAAACGAUUAUAUAUCAGUGAAUUGUUGUAUAUGUAUGGAUUGUUGUAUAUAAGGCUUGUUGAAUGCAAUGUGUGAAAAAGGGCUUCAAAUUAUAUAGUUUUGGGUGUACUGCUUCAAUAUACAGGUUGUCUAAAAUAAAAAAAAAAAAUAGCGCUUUUUAAAAAAAAAGUUUUAAAUAACCACCCACUUUAGAGGGCGCUUUUACUGGAAAGCGCCCUCUAAACCCCUUAAAUGUUUCCACUUUAGAGGGCGCUUUUUUGAAAAAGCGCCCUCUAAAGUGGCCCUUAAAGGUCUUAAAGAGCCACUUUAGACAGCGCUUUCACUAGGAAAAAAAGCGCUGUCUUUACCUAUGCCAGCGCCAGAUUAGAGGGCGCUUUAAAGCGCUGUUAUAGGCCAAAAAAAGCGCCCUCUUUUCCCUUAUUUGGCGUAGUGUAGUAAAAUGUUUAAUGUUGUUGUUGUUGUUGUUGUUAUUGUUGUUAGGAUUGAAGGUUUAAUGUUGAGAUUGAAGGUUUAAUACCUUUGUUGUUGUAUUAUUCUAAUUUGCAUUUCUUUCAAAUUAUAUGUGUUUAACGACAGGAAAAUACUAACAAUAGAAGACAUAAAUGACGCCCAUUCACGUUGAGAAACUUGCUCCCUAGAGUUUUUUUACUCACAAGCACGCUGAUUUAUCUUGGUUGUUAUCUAGUUGGUUAACCAUUUAUAUAAUUUAGUUUUGUUGUAAAAAAAUAUGUUUGCCAUUUUGAUUUUGGUGUAAAAUAUGUAUUUCGGUAUAAAAUAUGUCAUUUUGGUACAUAAGGUAUAUAUAUUUUGUUUAACAAAAUAUAUAAUUUAUGUUGAGUUUCAAAAAAAUAUAGGUUAAAAAGAGAAUUAUGUACAAUUAAAAGAUUUAUAUUUUAAAAAAAUAAGGGAUUUCCCAUAAGUUAGAACUCCUAACUGAGAAAAAAAUCCUUUCCAUAAACAUAAUGUUCACGUAAUACCUUAGGUAUUGAAAUCAACCGAAAGUAAAAGCUGACGUUUUCCAUUGGUUAACAUAUAUAAUUGAGUGGAAAAGUUACACACUUUUAAGUUUGCACCUCAACCAUUGGUCCAAAAGGAAAAACAAUGGACUUUCCAUUACAGCAUACGUUACCUCGCUCAGCCACCCAAGAUAAAAGUCAUGUUUCAACCGAGGUAAAAGCAUUGUUUCCCUUUUCUAUUAUAAAAAGAUAAAAUAAUGAAAAUCUCGUAAAAACUAAGAAUACAUUUUUAUGAUUUGGUAAGAAUUUUAUUUGAUAUGUCCCGUUAAAUUAACUCAGUUGAUAAUUGUGUAGGGAUAUCAAAUGUAUGAACUCGAACUCGGAUCCACGACAUCCGACUUAUUCAUCUUUAAAAAGUUGAAUUUCAAUGAUUAAACUAUAUAAUAAAUUUUAUUAUUAUUUAAUCUCCUUAUUAAUUAUACUAAAAGGACAAGUAACACUUCUUUAUAUUUAUGAGAUAUUUAAUACUUUCUCUGAUCCUCUUUAUAAGAAAUAAUUUUUUUUUUAAAUUAUUAAAUAAUAAAUAUAUCUAAUCUAUUAUUAGAUCAAAUACACUAAAUAUUUAAUAAAUCUAAAACAUAAAUUAUCUCUUAUAAAUAACAUUAGAGUAACUAACAUUAACAAAAAUUAUGCUACUCAGACAUUCUCCCACAGAUUAUUUUCAACACACUCUUUGAUUAAUUAAAAUUCAAUCGCAAUAAAUUUAUGUGGUGAUUAAAUGAUUUAAUGAGACCUAUUGGAAUUUCAAUCAAUUAAAGAAUAUGUUAAGAAGAGUGUGUUAUUAACAAUCCUCUUAUUCAUAAUAUCAUCAUUGUUCUACCAUUUUCCCUUUUCUAAUAAUAAUAUCACCAUUUCUACCAUUUUCCUUUUUCUAAUAAAAAAGUAAUAAAAUAAAUAAUAAUUGAUAUGAAAAAAAAGAACACUUAUAAUCGAUAAGUUUUUUGACGUGACCUCAUUACAGGUGUGUUUUAAAGGGAAAAAUACAACACAUUGAUGCAAGCAACAAAAACUUAUUCAUUUAAAAAAAAUAUAUUAUUCUUGUUUUGUGGCUUUCCCUUUUUCUAUAAUGAAAGGUUAUAAAAUAUUCAAAAUUUGAUAAAAAUAAAAGAUAUAAUAUAUUCUUAUGAUCCAUAAGUUUUUUAUAAGUUUUUUAUGGGACCUUCUUACUAUGUUACAUGUGCUAAACAGACAACACAACUUAUUGAUAUAAUUAAAAGUCAUAUAAUAAUUAUUAACUGUUUUAUGUGUUCUAAAAAGCGAUAUGCUUUAGAAAACGCUAUAGAUAUUAAAAACUAUUUAAUUGAUGUAAGGAGAGCACUAAGUUUUAUAAAUUCAUCAGGUGAUAUCUGCAUAUUCUAUUUCAUACAUGCAAAAGGUGGAAAAGAUGACUAAAAUUAUCAAAUUUGUUUAUAUUUUAAUCAUCUCUUUAUCUCUAGUUGUUGCAAUGAAUAUUAACGGUAAACUGUUUUUUUUAUUCUUUUUAAUUUUCUUUCUUAUUAUUUUGUUAUUAAUAUUUGAUUCUAUUCUAGUAACAUUUUUUUUUGCUUUUCUUUUUCACUACAGCGCGUGGUAUUCCAUGUUAUAAUAAAGACGUUGAUUGUCCAGAAAAUAUGUGUAUGUAUGCUCACAGACCAACGUGUUAUUUAGGUUUCUGUAAAUGUGUUAGUAUAGCUUCUGAUAAUUGAUAUGAGCACCAGAUCCAAGAGAGUACAAAAAUAUCAUGUUAGAAUAUUCUAUGAAUGAUUAUUUAGUUAUGGUAUUUACAUUUAAUAAAUUAAGUUUUUAAAUUUUUCUAAUUUAAUGGACCUUGUAGUUAUUACUUUGUACUAUAAGAAGAUGUUAGUGAAUUAAAAUGUAACAUCAAAUAAUAACAUAUAGUUUUUCUCUUCUCUCUUAGUUUUGAAGAUCUUUCAUUGGUCUUCAAUUUAUGCCGAUCAAAUUUUUAAAUCCUAUCAUUUAUAUGAAUUAAAAUUAAAAAUUAGUGGACAAAUUUUAUAAAAAAAUAAUUUAAAUUUAUAAACUAAUCUCUUUAAAUGAGGAUUUAUAUAGAUUACAAUCUAGAAUUACUUUUAUUAAUGGAAAAUUAUAUGUUAAUUCUAAAGGUAUAUCUAAUAACAAUAUCAAAAUGAAUUUUAUAACUAAAAAUGUGUGUUUUUUUUCACGAUGAAAGAACUUGUCUUGUUAAAAUGAAUAUCAUAAAAUUGGGAGAAAUAUCAACCCCAACAAUAUCUUCAAUAAAGUAAGGCACAAACUAUUUCUAUGGUUACAUAUCAAUCAAGUUUUAAAUUCUUGAAUUGUGUCGAGGAAGUGGAAAGACCUCGCUACAAAAAAACCUAAAUUUUUAGGUGUUAAAUACUUUGCAAAUAUAAAAAAUACUUUUCAAUGUCCAUUUCAACGAGUUCCAAUCAUUUUGCAAAAACUUUAGUCAUAACGUUUUUGUUGAACGAAAAUUAUCUCGCAAGUUAUUAAAUGAAAACCACCUCACAAAUUGUUAAGUGAAUAUCACUUCGCAACUCACUUUUUAAAAAGUGGUUCAAAAUCCAAUGGACAGUGCAGAGUAGAUGGCAAAGCAGUAUUAUACAACACAAUAUUUUGUUGAGUGUAACACACCUCACAACUCAUGCACUUUGUUGAGUGUAUUUCAUUUGACAACUUUGCUGAGUAUAUUUCACUUGACAACAUGUUUUACGUAUUUAAAAAAAUCAUUAUAUAUUUAUAUUAUACAAAAUAUUUUUUAUAAUUAAAUAUAUAUAUAUAAUAUAAUAAGUUUAUGAUAAUAUAAUAUAAUAUAAAUUUAUAUAUUUAUAUUAUACAGAGCAUUACAAUUUUUAAAAUUUUUAUUCUGUGUUAAUUAAUAUUAAAAGUAAAUUAAAAAAAUAAAAAAAUUAUAUAUUUUGUUUUACUGUAAAAAAAUUAAUUAAAAAACAAAAAAAAAGUAUAUACUAAUUAUUUUUUUAUUCUGUUUUAUUAAACAAACAAAAAAAAUAUUAAUACUAUUUUAACAUAUAUACAUAAAUAAUAUAAACUUAAAACCUAAUAUACAUACUAUUUUAAUAUAUCCUGUUAAAGAUAUAUAUACCGUUUUAAUUUUUUAAUAUUAUAAAAAAAUAAAACAAAAUUAUUAUCCUAUUAUACUAAUUAAAAAUUAGAAAUAAUAAAUCACAACAAAACAUUAUAAUAUGAAAACAAAAUUAAUAUACACAUAAAUAAUAUAUGUAGCAAUAAAGUUUUUAACAAAAUAAACAAUAAUACAAACAACAACAAAAAUAUUUAAACCAGAAUAAUCCAAUAUUAAUAAGAAAAAAUUGAAAAUAAAGUGUGUAUCUUAAAUUUGUAAAUUCCUUUAAAAAUGUUAGAUGAGAAAUAUUGUGAACUUUUAUAAGUGUUGAUGAAGAAGAAGAAGAAGGAUGAAAGGAAAAAUGUGUAUUUUGAGAGGAUGUUGAAGUGUUUGGUGAAAGAAAACGUAAUGUUUGUUUGAAAGUAAGCUGAGAAACGAAAGCAUAAUAAAUAAGCUGUCUCCUUUAUGACAGUUGCAUGCGCUUUGAUAUUUGUGUAUGUGACUUUACCGAGUGUUUUUCAUGUCACAAUCAUUUUGUACAUUGCUGCAUGCAUAGCACGUCACAACUCAUGUUGUUAGCGAGUGUUUUUGACUUUGCAAUCCAUGUGUCGUUGCUGAGUGUUUUUCACUUCGCAACCAUUCUGACAAUGCUCUCCCAAAAGCUGCAUUAAAUUGAUUGGUGAUAACGUUCAAAUUUUGAAUUUUGAAUUUUGAAAACACCAUUGUGAGAUGAUUACCACACAUCAAAUAUAUUUUUAAAAAAUUUGUUUCCCUCCUAAUGAGUUACGAAGUAAUGUAUUUAUUAAAUUAUAUUUUUUUAAAUAUUUUUUCAUUUUUUUUUCAAGGUGAAUUUCUACCGACUAAAUUAUCCAAAUAAGUUGAGUUUUUCUUGUAGUGCCUGGAUUAUUGGAGUGGUCACUACAAGCUGGAACAUGGCUAAAAUAGGUAGAUCAAUGUAUGUUGUUUGGAGAAAGCUUAACAGAUUGCAACCUCUAUUCCGUGGAUUGAAUAGGAAAGUGACGACUGGUGUACAAAAGAUACAAGAUAGCAGGGUGCAAUUGGCACAAGCACAACAACUUUUGGCGGGAGAUAUGUUUAAUCAAGAUUAUCUCCAUUCUGUUAAACAUUUGUCAAAUGAGUUGGUGUCGACUAUUGAAUUGGAGAAGCAAAUUCUUUUGCAAAAUCGAAGACGACCUAGUUGAAACUAGGGGAUGGCAAUAAUUUGUAUUUCCAUGACCUAGUUCAAACUCAUGAUGACAAAAGUUUCAAGUAUUUUUAGAAGCUACUAGUUUGAGAGCAAAUCCUGCCAAGUGUAAGGUGUAUUUUGGAGGGGUAUCAACUUAUGAACAGGAAAAAUAAUGGAUGCUACUGGUUUUUCUAUUGGUUUGCUAUCUUUUCAGUAUUGAGGAGUUGUUUUAACUAGUCGAAAGUUGUAUGUUCAUCAAUACAUACCACUUGUUGAUAAGAUUGUUGCUAAAAUACGAUAUUUGGGCUUCUAAACUACUUAGUUAUGCUUGAAAAUAUCUAAUAGUGAAGAGUAUUUGGUUCCUGUCACAGGCUAUAGGUUAUUGGAUGCAAGUUUUUCCGUUACCAAAAAAAAUUGUUAAGCAUAUUGCGGUACUUUGUAGGAAUUUUUUUAUGGAGAAGAACUGAUGAAAGUAGUCGGAAAGCUCAUGUUGCUUGGGAUAAAGUAUGUGAUCCCAAGGUAGUAAGGGGUUUGAAUAUCAACAUGUUAUAGUUUGUGGGCUCAAUUUAAAGAUUAUUUUUUAGCUAUUAUAAUCUCUUUAAACUAAAUAUAUAUUAUUACAAUAUUAUCUUUUAAUAAGAAGUUUAUGUAAGACAUAUUAUUAAAACUUAAAAAUAUUUUUAUUUAUGAAAAAUUGUGUGUUGAUUUUAAGACUAUCUCAAAUGAAAAAUUCUAUUAAUUUUAAACAAGUUGAGACGAUUUAUUACACGUAUUCUAUUAAUUUAUUUAUUUGCCUAGUUUUUUCUUCUUAUGAUAAUGAAUUAACAUUACUGUAAAAGUUAAUUUACUUGAAUCAUUAAAGUGAAAUUGUAAAUUAAGGGUAUUCCACCCUUUGCUCAAUGUGAAUUUAAUAAUUUCCAUUUUGAAUCUCUAGAAUCUAGAUUGGUUUAUGUGAUCCAUAGUUUUUUCGUCCAGUUUACAACUAUUACGGAAAACACUUAUCAUAACGGUUGGAAAAGAGAUAUAACAACGUCCGAUCAACUGUUGUGAGGUAGAAUGUGAUUGUAUGUAUGAUGUUUCUAUCACGGGCCUUGGAUCGUUGUGAUAAGUUAGGUAACGUGCUAUCUAUCACAACUGUCAAGAUAAUCAACCGUUGUGAUAUAAAGUAAUUGGUCAUCAUUUCGAAACCCAAUGAAUGUGUGACUAAUAAUAUUAUACGCACUAUUUAUAAAAACUGUUGGUUUAAAUAACCGUGAUUAAAUUCUUUAUUUUUUAUUUUAAAUUUAUUUUUCCAUAUAUAAUAGAUCUGUAUUUAUUCUUUUACCUGUAUAUUACAAAUGACCAUAGUAUUUGUCUUUAUUCAUAGACUUUAGUGCAAUUCCAGUCAAUCCACUAUCAAGUAUGCAACUAGCCUCGGUGGCCUAUCUUUUCAGAUCCUUUUGGUUUAAACACCAUUGCAAUCCAUUUCUUUUUGAGAUACACCUUAUGGUCAUUUUCUUUUUCUUGGUUAUGACACCAUAAUUCUGGGAUACACCUUCAUGGUCAUUCCCCAUUUCUUGGUUUUGACACCACUUUCUUUUUGAGAUACGCCUUAUGGUCAUUCUCAUUUUCUUGGUUAUGAUACCACAAUAUUGGGAUACACCUUCAUCAUUAUUCCCCAUUUCUUGGUUUUAACACCACUUUCUUUUUGAGAUACACCUUAUGAUCAUUCUCAUUUUCUUGGUUAUGACACCACAAUUUAGGGAUACACCUUCUUGGUCAUUCCCCUUUCUUGUUUUUGACACCACUUUCUUUUUAGGAUACACAUUCUAGGUCAUUCCCCUUUCUUGGUUUUGAAACCACAGUCCUUACCAUGUUAGAACCAAUGCUUUGGUAAUACCCUUGUCAUGUGAGUCUCCUGCUUUGACAAGUUUCCUUUCUUUUGGUUUAAACACUACCCCUAAUCAUAUCUCUUUUUCAGUCUUUGUCCUCCAAAGUACGGGGCUCUAACUUCCUUAUUGCAUUAUAAGGAUACGUAGGAACGAGGAUGUGAAUCCUUGGCAAGCACAUUUCUCCAUCUUCUUUCCUCUCCCCCUUUUUCAGUAUUUGUUCUCCGAACUACGAGGUUCUGACUUUCUCAUUGCACCAUGAAAAUACGUAGGCAUGAGGGCCACAAUCCUCAUCGAGCACUCUUUUCCUAAUCCCUUUCUUUUCUGCAGGUACAUGAAGAUUAUAACAUCCAUCCAAGCAAGAGAAUUCAAAAUGGUUCCCAUGGAGUACCAUGGAUGUGAGGGGUGCUAAUACCUUCCCCUUGCAUAACUGAUUCCCUUACUCGUUUCUCUGUUUGUUUCCUUUGUGUUUUAUCAAUAUUUUCCUUUCUCUGUAUUUUUGGGAUAAUAAAGUUCGGUGGCGACUCUGUUGUACCUUCGAGCGUGCGAUGCGUUCAGUGGGUAUAUUUCAACUAGCUUCAUCAACAAGCAUGACAUACAUGACAUAAAAAGCAACCAAAAUGGGACCCCUCAUAGCAUAUCAUACACACAUACAUACUGUGGCAAAAAUGGUACCAUAAUCCCAUUCCAAACAAAGCCAGAAGCAACAAAUUUUCACAUAUCAUACGUAGCAACACAUAGCAAUUUGAGGACAACACCAAAAUUAAAUAGCAAUCACAUGGUAUCAGACACACCAAAUAAAAAACUUCCACAAAAUGAGCAAAUUCUAACAAAUUGAUUUUACACACGAGCCAUAUUCAUAACAAAAAGAAUUUCACACGUAUUGACACAAAUUUCUCAACCUAUAAAUUCAUUCAUUGUUAAUUCCAAAUGACAUAGAAAACCUAAUAUUUUUCAUAGAGCGAAAAUUUUGUAGAACUUUAGGUAGACCCGACUUACUUAUAGAUUAGUUCCUAUGUAAAUUAAUUUACGUGAGUAUUAGGGUGAUAUAUUUCUGCCUAAUUAGCUCAUUAAUUUUUUCUACCAUCAAACCUUAUACCUAAAGCUUAGACUAUACAUAACUGUUUAUAAAUUUUAAUUGAAAUUCUAAAUAUUGUUGAGCUAAAACCCAAAACCUAAGUUCAACAACCAAACACACAACACACAAGAAACAACAAGAAAUUGGAGUAGGAAGGACUAAACAGAGGAUGGAAAAGAACACAGAGCAAGGAAAAAGACAUUUUAACCUGAAACUUUGGUAUCCCUCUUUCCCUUUAAAUUAAACUGCGCAUGACACACGUUUUUGAACUCCUGUUUUGCCUUAAACCAUUGAUUCUUGGACUGUUGUAUUGUUAACCAAGUUUGAUUUAAGUAUUCUCUUAUUUUCCAUACACGAUUAUUUUUUUAUGCUUGAGUCACUAAUAACAGUCUUGAUUUAGAUUUUGUUUGGUUAGGGUUCGGUUAGUAUGAUCCCAUUGAUUAGUUGAGAUUUUGGUAAAACUGAUUAAGGAUUUGGAAAUGGGAGGUUAAAAUAGGUGGGGUUUGUGUUUUUCUUUUGGUGUUUGGUGGUGGUUGACCACCAAAGGAUGGAUGAGAGAGGCGCCGACAAAGCCAAAGCGGAGAUUGCUUUGCAAGCGCGGUUCAAUGAAAAGAAUAAGAGGUCAAAAGGAAAAUUUGCGGCGAGAGGUAAAUCAGAUUUUCAGAAUUUUGGUUCAAACGAUUCGCAAAAAUCAAAGCAUUCAAAGCAAAAAUUUCAGAAAAUUUAAUUGAUUAUAUAUUUAUUUAUUGAAAAAUUAAAUAAAUAAAUAUAUACUAAUAUUGAUUAAAUAAAUAGAAUAAAUAAUCAUGACUUAUUCUAAAAUCUUGGUCCAACAUCAAAUAUUUUUUAUCUAAACCGAUUAAAUCAUUUUCGUGUCGAAUCAAAUAUAUUCCCAUUUAAGUUUAACAUAACCUUUUUCUUAAUCAAACACGAAAGAAGAAGAUUCUUGGAGUCUCGCAUUACUUGAAUCUUCGAAUGAAUGUUCUCGAGGCACACGUCCUGGGUUAGCCGUUCAUUCAUUCUUUCGAUCGUUUCUAAAACACUUAACAUAAAAACUUGGACGAAAAGAGUGGCCGUUGAAUUUUAGCAUUUUAGUGGAACCUUUGAACGAUCUUUUGAAUUUUCAUUGUCCAUCAAAUAAUUUCAUAAAUACAUUGAAUGCAAAAGGUAACGUUGAAGUCUAACAUUCCGGUAAUACCCUGAUUAAUUGGUUCCGAGACUCACGUCUCGUCCUUACCAAAUAUUAAUCAUUCACCUUUAAAAAAUAUUCAAACACAUCAAGCUUAUUUUCUCGUCCCUAUGCGAUUGAAAACCUUUCACAAGAGGACAUGUAUCUAAUCCCUUCUAACACGUACAAACUAGCGCUUAAGUCUCUGUCGCGAGUAAACAAGCACAUGUUUUAACGUUAGAACACGUUCUAAACACGUGUUCACCAUAACACGCCUUAAUCAAUAAAAAAUAUUUUCUAAAGAACGACGCUUAAUACUUCCUAAUGCUUAUACAAACUAGCGUUUAAGUCUCACCCGCGAGCAUGCAAACUCACGCUUAACCGUUAGAAUGCGAUCUAAGCGCUUGUUCAAUAAAACAAAAAAACCAAUCAAAGCUAUAUUUUCUCGUCCCCAUGAUAUCGAAACCUUUUCACAAACGGGCACUAUUUAGUCCUUUCUAACGCGUAUACAAACAAGCGCUUAAGCUUCCCAUGUGCGAGCAUACAACUAAAUGUUUAAACUGCUAGAACGCAAUCAAUCAGGAUCCUUUCUACUACAAAACAAACAAAUGCAAGUCUCCCAUCCACGAGCAAACAAACCAAUAUUUAAUCGUAAGAAUGCGAUCUAAACAUUCGUCCAUUAAAAUCAAUCAACCAACGCUCAUUUGCUAUCAAGAACUACGUAACUUUGAGUUCUCAAUCGCACCUGAAGAUACAUAGGAGCGAGAUUUUCGUCUCGUCAAUCACUAUAAUAAAAAAAACCAAAAAUAUUUUUUGUCUUGCCUCAAACUACGAAGCUUUGAGUUUCUCAUUGUACCCGAUGAUACGUAGGAGCGAGACCCACAAUCUUGUUAAGCAUCUCAAUAAAAACAUUUUUCCAACCCAUUUUCUCUUCCUUUUGAAUUCUUUAUCAUUCGAAGAAAGCAAUUAUCAUAAGCCAACAUUCAAAUCGCAAAAAUAACUAAAAGGUUUCUGUUGAAUACAACGGAAAUGAGGGGGUGCUAAUACCUUCCCGUUGUGUAAUCAACUCCUGAACUCAAAUUUGAUUGCGACAAUCAUUUUCUCUUUUAAAUGUUUUAUCAAUAUUUUUAUUUUUCUUCAAUGGAAUAAUUAAAGUUCGAUGACAACUCUGUUCAAAUCAUUUUUUUCUCGUCUUCGCGAAAGAUCGUAUUUUUCGAGAUGGAACAUCCACAUAUGUCUUUCUACUCCAAAACAACUUAAAACAAGAAUUGUUAUUUUGCAUGAUACAACCAAUCAAAAAAGAAGAUCAAUCAUCCUUGAUUGAAUUUGACGGCAAGGGUGGGAUUAAUAUAGGAAAGAUGGACCGGAAAAACCUUGCACUCCCACCCUGCCCAACACCCGCACCUCGUUCCACCCCAUUCAUUCGAUUGUCAUGGUUAUGCCUAUCUGUAAGAAAUUGGAGCCACUUAAACUAAUUUUUAAAACCUACAACAAAAUAAAUAGAGAUGUUUAUUAUACACCCACGACCACAAGUAGAGUCUUGGAUAAUUAUCACGGCAGCCAUUAAGGAAUAAACGAAGAGGAGGCUACACUUAAAUUAUUUAUAUAUAACAAAAAACUACAAACUCAUAAUAAUAUACUCAGAAUCGCUUUGAUUCUAUCCAAUGCAUUUUCUUCCUAUAUAUAGUAACAAACAUUCAUUAAUUCCUCAUCUCACAGUUAACAACAAUUGUCCCUUUUUCUCAUAAUUCCUUAAUUUCUUUGUCAUAUUCGCACUACCUAUAACACAACAAGCAUGGCCGAUAUACAACCUCAAUUGAACGACAGAAGUCGUUCUAGCUAUCUCUUCAGCUUCUUCUGGAGGCUUCUGAUUACACUCAUUGUCCUCUUUGGCCUCAUAAUCUUUAUCUUCUAUCUCAUUCUUCUACCCCGGCCCUUCAAGUUCUACGUCACAAACGCCCAACUAACCCAAUUCGACUACACAAACAACACACUACACUAUAACAUGGUUCUGAACUUCACAGCCCAUAACCCAAAUAAAAGACUCAGCAUCUAUUACGACAAAGUUCAGGCUCAAGCGUUCUCCGAAGGGUCAAGGUUCGCGAAUGUCGAUUUGAUCACCAAAUAUGUGAACUCGUUUCGCCAACGGAAGAAGAUGAGUGACCCCAUCAGUGGUGUUUUCUCUGGUCAACAACUUUUGAUGCUUAACAAUGAUCAAGUCUUGGAAUUCAAUAAAGAGAAGAUUGAUGGAGUUCAUAGUAUUCAUAUGAAGCUCUACUUCAGAAUUAGGUUCAGACACGGAAUCUCAAUAUCUCAUAUCUACAAGCCCAAGGUCAAAUGUGACAUUAAAGUUCCAUUGAGCUCUAGCAAUAGUAAAAAUAUUGAAACAUUUACCUUCACUCAGGUUUUGACGAACAAGUGCAAAGUUGUGUUAGGUCCUACUUAUUAAGCCUAUGUUUUCAUUGAAUUGUAAUUGAAUGUGGUUUUCAAAUUUUUAUUUUUUAUGAUUCUUAUUUUUUACGAUUCUUAUUGUUUUGGCUAAAGAAGUUUUGAUCCUUCCAAAUAUAUAAAAGAAAAAUUGUUUUUAAUUCAUCAAAAUAUUUCUUUGAAAUAUUGUCUCCUUAAAAUUUCCUUGAACACUAUUGGUCCUUUUAGUUAACUUCCGAUUUGACUGUCCAUGGUGUUAGUAUAUUUAAGGACUAAAAUAUUUUUAAGGAGAGUAUAAAUUUAUUUAAUCCAUUUUGUUUUCUUCCAUUGUUAAUUGUUAAACACAUGAUAGUAGAUGUUAUUUGAUAUCUAAAAGAUAUAAAAUUUAGAAGACAAAAUUUAUAUCUUAAAAAUAUCUCACUAAGAUUUUGUUUUUCAUAUUUAUCUAGCUUAAUUAUUCAAAAACUAAUGUAAAAUUUAAAAUACAAAAUUAACUUAAAUUCUUAAUGAUGUAUUCACCCAUACUUUUGCUCAUCUAAAUGUAUAAAAUAGAAUAUAACUAACAAAGUCAUACCACUAUUUGAUAUUUAAAAGCUCUCUGUUCGGAUCAAGAAGAUGAAAUUCUUAAUGGAAUGUGAUAAUUCUUUGUCAUAUAAGAUAUUUUGUAUUUCUUUAUUAUAUAUUUGUGCAUUUAUUUUUGUUAUUUUUUAGGUUAAUAAUGCUCGUAAAACGUUUAAUGCAAAAUAAUUAUAAAAAAUAUAUUUUUUUUUUAUAAAUUUGACAAUUUAAUCAAAUAACUAUUGAGUUUAUAGAUUUUUUGAAUAAUGUAAUAAUAUGAUAAGGUCUACACUAAAUCUGAUGGAGCCUUGGAUGUUAAAACAAUAAAAAAUCGAGAAAUUUUAACCCAAAACUAGCAAUAAUAAUGCCUAGGAUGAAGUCAUCAAACCCCUAAGGGGGCACGCUAGCAGGUGGAUACAUUGAGUGAAGGGAAAUUCAGAUUAAAAUACGAACCAAAAAAUAUUUUUUUUAUAUUGAUCCUUACAAAUGAGCAUGAUCAACGAUAGAAUGGUUAUCUUUUGUGAUGAUUAACUAUUGAUGUAAAAUCUAGAGAAUUGUCACAGGUAUUGAACAAACAACACUACAUCUUCUCAUUUCAUAUGAACAGAGUGUUCAAUAUCAGUUCUAGUUGUUUUGCACGAAUAUAUAUAUAUAUAUAUACACUACGCCAAACAAGACCUUAGACAGCGCUUUUUUUAGCCUUAGACAGCGCUUUAAAGCGCUGUCUAAACCUCCGCUGCUAAAGGUUUAGACAGCGCUUUUUGAAAUCUUAAAAGCGCUGUCUAAGCCCCCCCCCUUAGACAGCGCUUUUGCCUAAAGCGCUUUCUAAUCCCCCCCUUAGACAGCGCUUUUUACAAAAGCGCUGUCUAAGGUAUACGAAAAUUUUUGAAGCUUUUGUUUUAAACCACAUUUUUUCCAGGUUUAUAAACCAGAAUUUCUACCUGUUUUCAACCAGAUUUUGACAGACAAUUAUCACAUUUUAUAUAUGCCAUUUUGGCCUUUUUUCUACCAAUUUUUGGCUAACAAAUAUAUAUAUAUACCAAUUCAAACCAAUUUUGCCUUAAAUGUAUCAAAAUAUAUACAAAUUUAUGUACACAUUUACAAGUCAUNNNNNNNNNNNNNNNNNNNNNNNNNNNNNNNNNNNNNNNNNNNNNNNNNNNNNNNNNNNNNNNNNNNNNNNNNNNNNNNNNNNNNNNNNNNNNNNNNNNNNNNNNNNNNNNNNNNNNNNNNNNNNNNNNNNNNNNNNNNNNNNNNNNNNNNNNNNNNNNNNNNNNNNNNNNNNNNNNNNNNNNNNNNNNNNNNNNNNNNNNNNNNNNNNNNNNNNNNNNNNNNNNNNNNNNNNNNNNNNNNNNNNNNNNNNNNNNNNNNNNNNNNNNNNNNNNNNNNNNNNNNNNNNNNNNNNNNNNNNNNNNNNNNNNNNNNNNNNNNNNNNNNNNNNNNNNNNNNNNNNNNNNNNNNNNNNNNNNNNNNNNNNNNNNNNNNNNNNNNNNNNNNNNNNNNNNNNNNNNNNNNNNNNNNNNNNNNNNNNNNNNNNNNNNNNNNNNNNNNNNNNNNNNNNNNNNNNNNNNNNNNNNNNNNNNNNNNNNNNNNNNNNNNNNNNNNNNNNNNNNNNNNNNNNNNNNNNNNNNNNNNNNNNNNNNNNNNNNNNNNNNNNNNNNNNNNNNNNNNNNNNNNNNNNNNNNNNNNNNNNNNNNNNNNNNNNNNNNNNNNNNNNNNNNNNNNNNNNNNNNNNNNNNNNNNNNNNNNNNNNNNNNNNNNNNNNNNNNNNNNNNNNNNNNNNNNNNNNNNNNNNNNNNNNNNNNNNNNNNNNNNNNNNNNNNNNNNNNNNNNNNNNNNNNNNNNNNNNNNNNNNNNNNNNNNNNNNNNNNNNNNNNNNNNNNNNNNNNNNNNNNNNNNNNNNNNNNNNNNNNNNNNNNNNNNNNNNNNNNNNNNNNNNNNNNNNNNNNNNNNNNNNNNNNNNNNNNNNNNNNNNNNNNNNNNNNNNNNNNNNNNNNNNNNNGGAACCCCCACCCUUACGACAGCGCUUUAGCCUAAAGCGCUUUCUAAGACCUCCUAUUUUAAUUUUUUAGGUAUACCUUAGACAGCGCUUUUGGCAAAGCGCUGUCUAAGUAUACCUAAAAAAAUUAAAAUAGGGGGCUUAGACAGCGCUUUUUGAAAAGCGCUGUCUAAGCCCCCCAUUUUUAAUUUUUUAGGUUACCUUAGACAGCGCUUUUGCCAAAAGCGCUGUCUAGGGGGGGCUUAGACAGCGCUUUUCAUAAAGCGCUGUCUUAAGCCCCCCCUUAGACAGCGCUUUGCCUAAAGCGCUUUCUAAGCCCCUUAGACAGCGCUUUUUCCAAAAGCUGUCUGUUAAUGGUAUACGAAAAAUUUUUGUAGCUUUUGUUUUUAAACCACAUUUUUCCAGGUUUAUAAACCGAAUUUCUACCUGUUUCAACCAGAUUUUGACAGACAGAAUCACAUUUAUACAUUGCCAUUUUGGCCUUUUUUCUACCAAUUUUUGGCUAACAAAUAUAAUAUACCAAUUCAAACCAAUUUUGCCUAAAUGUAUCAAAAUAUAUACAAAUUAUGUACACAUUUACAAUCAUUACCUAUACUACAAAUUUAUGUACACAUUUACAAGUCAUUACAUAUAUUACAAGUAUACUACAAAAUUACACAAAUUUAUGAAAAACUUUGAGCUCUAUCAUGAAUUGACACCACUCCUCUUUUGAUUUCGUCCACUGGUUCUCUUUGUAUAAAAUGCACACUUGAAUUCCUCAAGUACUACAUAUGAAGCAAAAAAAUUUUGAAUUAAUUCCAACUAUUAAUUAUAUGAGGAUAUGUGUAAAUAUAAAAUUAACUCAUAAGUUAGUAAUACAUACAUCGGUGGGAAUCACUAAUCGGCCCAAAGCAAGAGUAUCCCGCAUAAACCUCAACACGAAAUAACCCGCAAUCUAUUUGAUUACGUUGUUGAGGACACUACAUGAAAAAAAAAUAUGGAUUAUAAAUCUAAGUUUUAUCAAGUGUCAUCACUAAUAUAAAAAAAAUGUGGUAAUUAAAAAUAUACCGCCACUUUAAUCCAUGUAAUUCGGUUGGCGCCCCUCCUUGAGGUUUUGGAUAUCUCGUUGGGCCCGAAAGCUUGUAGGAUGCUAAUAAAAUAAAAAUUGAAGCAAUUAGAACAAUUAACAUAAACUAAGAAAAAUUUUGAACAUUCUCACUUACGUGUCAAUUAGGCGCUUCAUAUCCGGGUAUGUUGUCAAUCAUUUCCUAACGAGUCAAGAUAUACACAAUUUCUCGGAUAGGAUUGAUUGCGAGCAACAACCAAUGUCCAACUGUAAUGAUUAGGCAAAUGUUAGAUGGUAACUUGGAAAAUAAUUAUAAUAUAUGAAUUUAAAUGAAAUGCUAACCGGUAUAAACGGUAUAAAAACAACUUCUCCGCAUUUUUAUUGUCAUUGAGGAUCCGAAAGAACGUUACUCCGUCACGGAAUCCGGGUAUUUAAGAUUGCACCUUAAGUUGAUGCUCGCUGGUGCUAAAGAAUCCGAAUGACUUCGUCCAAAUCAUUGGGGCCAUCAUUUUGUCAUACAAAAACCUAUAAUUAAAAACAUCAUUAACACCUCUUUUGAAACAUAAAGUAAACCGGAUUAAAUAAAGUAAACCGAAUUAAUAAAACCAAAGUAGACCGGAUUUACCUAAUAUAUGUAUUGACAACGUUGACGCCGAUUUCUUCAUGACCAAAAACUUGCAUGAAGUCUUCAUUACCAAUCAUUUGGUCGUGGCAAAGCCGAAAAUCCCUUCCUCCAUAUGUAUAGUCCGAACACCUCCGGUCGGUAUAUCGGUCAUCUCUAUAAAUGUCCUGAGGCACGACCUAUACUUGGUGGUAGGUUUUUUCCUAGCUACGGUCUUCUUAGCACCAGAACUUUUUACCGUGCGGAGGCGUUCUUAACCUCCUUUAUUUGUUGUGCGGAGGCAUUGCUAACCUCAUUUUCUUGAACCUACAUGUCAAUAAAGUUAGAUCAAAAUUAAGAAUGAACAACUUCCAUGAAUAUAUGUCAUAUAAUUGUAUAUUACUCUUUUUCUUGAUUUGGAUUUUGGGGAGUCUAUUUAACAUAAUCAAGGAAAAUAUGUAAGUAAAAUUUUAAGCAUAAAUUUUAAACUUUGAAUAUACACAUUAAAGUUAACAUAAGUUUUAAGCAUACCUCAUAUCCUACGCAUAUGAGGUUUGUCGGCCAUGCAACAAACGAACCUACUGCUUCGUGCACCGUUGUUGCAUCCGAAUCCAUCGUAGGAUAUGGUAAUAAUGCAUUCGGGUCAAACUGCAAUAUCAACUGAUACCUUCAAACAUCCAGCAGGGAGCUCUCUAGUGUGGAGUUAAUACUCCGCUAACGUUAUGCACUUUUCCCUUGCAACCAUCCGAUAGUUUGGGGACGACAAAUAAGCUGACAAUGGGAAUGCCCUAAACCAAUAAUAACAAGAAUCGUUAAUGUGUAUAUAUGUCAAAUACAUAAUUUAAGCAAACAGUUUCAAUUUAAGACAAUUAUAUGUAAUUACCUCUGGAAUGUUCGGCUGAAAGGUACAGUGAUACUGUUUUUGUCGAAGCAUCUCUGUAUACCGUUGAGGCGCUAGUCUCUCUUUCUCUCCCAAUGCAUCAAGCUCAGCUUGCAUUGGCUUCCAAUCUUGCAUGAAGCUCCCGAUUACUAUGAGCCUUUUCCUUUUCUAACACUGAGGGAGGUCGGAGUGACUCCAAAUCCCUUACCCCUCACCCGACCAGAUACUCAGGGACAUUCUAAUGCCCGACUAAGUAUGCUCUUAGUAUCAUCGGGAGAUAGAGACUGAGAUAGCUCCUCCUGAAAAAAUCAGAUGAAUACCGUAUACUUGUCAAAUAUGGUGUAUAAAAAUGUUAUUCAAUUAAUGAAAAAAUAUUAUACUACAACAUUUCUGGUAUACGUUGGUUAUUAAAACGUUCUUUCUUUGUGGGAACUCCAGAUUCCCACACGGGCUUCGCUUACCACAAAACAUGUGCAGGAAGAGAUGUUUCAUUGAACUUUCCUCCUUCUGCAGCUACACAGUUAAGUUUCAUACAAUUUGAUCAGAUAAAACUAUAUAUGAUUGAACAAAUUUGUUUCGCAAAUUUAUAAAUACUUACCAUGGGAUUGUUCUAAGCGUCCAUAAUCCGACACGUCGCUUUCGGUACGAUAUGCGGGACUGAUGCUCUUUCCCGAUUUGUAGACUUAUUCUCUUUGAAAAGUCGGGUUUGUCUUUGGUUUGAAAGCUUUCCCAUUCUUCAGCCGAUAUCAAACUUUCAUUAUUUUCUAGAAGCUCCGCCAUCCCAAAAAUUUAACCAUCCGCAUCCUUAAGAACGUUGGAUGUAAAAAAAUGGGUCCUGAAACCCUCUAAGAAGCUUUCCGGCCAAUUCAUGCAAAACCCUCGUCUUUUCUUCUUUCGAUGUUUAAACAUCGCUAAGAAAAAACAUACAGGAUGGUGAUUAGUUAGUAUGGUAAUUUAAAAAAAACAUAAUGAUACGUAUAAUUAAGGGCCCAAAUGAUUGUACCUUUAUCUCACUCCAAAUUAUUUUCUUUUGGACUCUUUCAACUUUUAUUCUCAGCAUCACACGUAAUGGGAAUUUCAUUCCUUACUAGUGCACCGAGAAACUAGUUAAGUAUGGCCCAUAGCGUUCUAUAAGUUGUCCCUGGUUGUUCCAAGAGACAUCUAGUAUGAUGCUGCGAGAUCUUCCUCUGGACCACCCCUUCGCAUUACGUGAUGCCUUCUUCGGAUUUCUUCUUCCGCGGAAUACUUUACUAGAACUUCCUCAUGUUGGUAUCAGCCAUGUCUAACCUGUAAUAAACCAAGGAAACCAUGCAAAUAUUCAAAUAUAAUUAUAUUCAAAACAAUUGAAAACAAAAAAAUUAAAGAAAUCAAUGCAUUAUCAGAUAUAACUUAUAAUCAAAGCAAUUGAGCUACAAAAAUAUAAUGAAAUCAUGCAUACCACAUAUAAACCUUAUAGAUCAAAAACAAAUUGAAAACAAAAAUAAAGAAACCAUGGAUAAUUUACCUAAGUCACUUAACAUCUCUUCUUUUCUUGUUGUUGGAAUAUAUCACUUGUUUCUUUAGCAAUGCGUACGAUGAAUUGAUCCAAUUUCCCUCAUGUAUGAUGCGUUUCUUAUAUAUGAACUCAUCCGGUAUAAGAUCCUCAAACUUCAUCAUUUCUAUUCAACUCGAUUCCGUUAAUGCAUGCUUCAUUCUCAACAUUCAAUACACAUUUGAUCGACACCGCUUAUUCAUGCAGUCACUUUGUUAGAGAAAAAGCCACUAUAGACCAUUUUGUAACUCUUUGCGCGUCUUCACAUAGAACACUUGUUUUAGCUUGAGAUGCUAGAAUAAAAUGGUUCAUCUUUGUACCCCACCCUAGUAAGAUCAACUUGCCAAAAUUCCAGACGUUAUCCAUUCGUAUGCCACUACUAUUCACCCACUGCAACAAAGAUGGGAAUCUGAAACUUCUCGUAAUCAAACACCAAAUGUGCCUCAAAUUAACAAAAUAUGACAAAUUUGCCAUAUUGGGGUUUUAAGUCCUUCAUACUUGAUAUAUUGCAUUGCUUCAGCUAGCACGGUGCACCCACUUAUUUUGCAUUUAGUACUCUUAUCAUCUUGUCUUCUGUUGGUAUAAAAUCGGGUAUCCAUUAACUUGAAUAUUGCGCUAUGAGAAAACACAUGCAAACUUGGACCAUAUUCCAAACAUCUCAAACCUUUCUGUUUACCGAAGAAGGAUCUGAAGAGGCUUCAAAUAAAUAUGAUCCUUCAACAUUGUAUGAAACUUUUGAUUGAUGCUCUAUAACUAUCCAAUUUUCAUGUCUCUUUCGCGAUGUUAACCUCGGAGACAUCCUUGUCGCAUUCAACAUUGGGCUCAACCUCAUUAUUAUGUGGGAACAUACAAUGAACUUCGAUCCCGUUCAUCCCUGAUAUUGUUCACAAUUUUAUUCCCAAUUAAUUUUACCUUCCAUUUUGUCGAAAAUCUGGCUCUGGGGAGUCAAUCGAUUGAACGUGAGACAAAUAAUUCAGUACAAAAACUCAACACGCUUCUUCAAACAAUGUAUCGUUCAACAAUACAAACCCUCUGGUUCGACUUCGGGAUUUCACGUACCCUUUUAAUAUUUUCAUACCGUUCAGCAGGUACAUCCAUCUCAUGUAAAGCUUGGUCCACCACAACUGUGUUCUCUCUUUCACAAAGAUGAACAACUAAAUUGGAACCAUUAUGUCAAAAAAGACGGAGGAAAAUACAUUUCAAGCCUCACACAAGGUAAUUUACAAUCUCUUUAUGUAAGUGUUGGUAAGAUCUCGGAUUCGAUCUCACCUUACUUACAAAAUUGACCUAAAGAAAAAAACCACAAUUUAGUUAUGGCAUCUUCUUACUUUUUCUGGCCAAAAAUAGAACGUAUUACCUAUCGGUAGAAAAUGUUCCAUAUAACAGGGCAAUCAUGUGUCUUCAAAUUCUUUCAACUUGAGGUCUUUCAUUAGAACAAAGCUUCUGAUAUCAGAUGAGUAUCCUUCUGGAAACCUUAACUUCACUCAGAGACUAUACACAAAAUUUUUUUCUCCUUUCUAGAUAAAGAGUAAAAGCAGCAGUGGUUAGAUAUGUUCGUUCUUUCCUUUCUUCACGGGUGCUUAAUUCAGCUUCUCAUUCCACAUUUUUAACAUGUCCUCCCUUGCUUUAAGCCACCUAUAGACUUGCCUUUUAUUAUGAGUAAUGUACUGAUAACACCUUUCAAAUUACGGUUUUGUUCAAAUAUGCAUAACAUCGAGAAAAUGUCUCACGUACAAAGGACUUCCAUGAUGGCAAUUCAAAAAAUAUCGACCUUUUCUUCCACCCACCUUGUCACAAAUUCUGAUGUGCAAAAGGCCUGCCAAACUCAGUACGCACCAUCUUCACCUUUUCAAAAACUUGUUUCACCUUGACAAUUGCGGCGUUGCGAGCUCUACGAUGUUCCGGUUGUUCUCGCAUGAAUGCUUUUCUCACCCACGAUCUCUCUCCGGGAGGGAGGGAGAGAGAGAGAGAGAGAGAGAGAGAGAGAGAAUCAUUAAACCAAGUUCUAACCGUUAAAGAGCGAAAUGCAGACAAUGGCCUGAAGAAUUAUUGUCUAGUACUAAAUGGUAUAACUUGUUUUCUAAUAUAACUUUAUAUAUCAUAUUAUAAUUCUAUAAUGCAAUCCAAAACGUUAUAUAUUCGGUAGGGGGUUGAAAAAACACUCAAACCACCUAAGAUGUAAUAAGCCCAUCUUCUAAACAAACCUUAACAACAACAUUCAUCAACAACAAAUCUUAUACAACAUACAAGAUAAAACAAACAACACUUAUUAACAACAACAAAAAUAUCAAUAACAUAGCAUAAACUACAUACAACAUACAAGUUUUAUUACUAACAACAACAUAUCAACUCAUAAGAUGUUUCAGAAAUGUACAUGUCCCAAAAUGGUAUCCACAAUAAAAGGAGGAUCAAGCUGAAGUGAGAGCUGCAAACUUGUGUUAAAUUUGAAUGAAUGUUAUUUUGAAGUCUUUCGAAAGUUUGCAGUGCUCACUUUAACUUCACCCUCGUUUAUUUUUUCCAUUCACCUUCCCUACCUACAAUUCAGAACCAGCUGAAAGUUCACUCAUCUUAAGUUAUAAACGUCAUAUUAUCCUACAAACAUUAUGAAGCAAGCUAUUGAAACGUAAAAAAUGAUACAUAAACAAAAUAGUUCACUUCUUAGGUUAUACAUUCACUCAUAUUAAGUUAACCUCUGAACAAAUUUUAAAACAUAAACUAUUAUGAAGACGAACCUGUAAUGUAGCAAUUUCCUAAGAUUUGAUGCAACAAAGGUAAUCCUGUAAGGAAUACGAGUUUGUUGCAUGAGUUUAGGGGUUCCAUUUUGAAUGUUUGUGAAGAAAGGUUGUCGAAAUGUUAAUGCAUAUUAGGAUAUAUGAGAAAGACGAGUGAGAGAGACGUUAAAGUUUUGUAUUGAGAAAGACGAUUCUUAUGUAGUGAAGCGAGAGAUAAUUUUGCUUAUAUAUAAAUAUGUAAAAUCUUUCACCAUGCUUGAUAAUAAGAAAUAAAAUUAAAUAUAAGGACAAACCCAUUUUGUCACGAAAAAAUAGAAAAUUGUUGGUGCUGGUAUUUGAACCCUUACACUCCAUGUACAUUUCACCAUGAUUGUUAACUAUGACCGUAGUCAAAUGUCCUUUAGUAAGUAGAAAAAAACGUGCAAAAAAGAGUUAUUAGCAUGAUUAACAGGAAGUCUGUUGUAAUAUGGUGUUAUGAAAAGUCUAUUUUUUAGUAGUGAUAGGAAGAUGAUAGGAAUAACAGCAACAAAGACUCACAUAAAAUAAGAGAGAGAGAGAGAGAGAGAGAGAGAGAGAGAGAGAGAGAGAGAGAGAGAUUGAUUAUGCAUAGGAAGGAAAUAGGAGCACCUCUUUAUAAAAGAGAGAGAGAGAGAGAGAGAGAGAGAGAGAGAGAGAGAGAGAGAGAUUGAUUAUGCAUAGGAAGGAAAUAGGAGCACCUCUUUAUAACAAUGCUUUUGAGCAUUUUAACGUGUAAAAACUCAAAAUCUAUGAAGAUUUGACCCAGAAAAUGUUGGAAGCAAAAAUUUCCAAAAUAUAUGUGAUAAUUGAUUAUUCAAGGAGAAUAAUUGAUUAUUAGAUGUAAAUUUUGAAGAUUUCGUGUUUUCUUCAUUAAGGCUCUAAUUUGAAUUUCUUUAAGGGAAAUAUAUAUUAUGUUCUCGCUUGAAAUUUGAAAUGUAUAUACAACAUAAUCGAUUGUGAUAAUCUAUUAUUUGUCUAAAUUUUAGUCUUCUUGAUCUUUUGGAUCUUGGGUUGAAAUAUGACUUUGACAUAUUGCUUUUGGCACCCACCUUUCAUUCAGAUUUCACUCCUUUCUCCAAAAAUGCAUAAAACUCAAAUAAGUCAUUAGUAAAAAUUAAUUUAAAUAACUAAAUAAUUUAAUAAAUCACUCAUUUAAAGAGUUAGUGAAACUUUUCCGAUUUUUAUACAAAAAAAAAUAUUCACCUAAACAUCAAGGAAACAACAAAACAUUAUCGUAAAUCGUUUUUUUUUCAAAUUAUUUGACUUGAGAGUUGCAAAGUAUAUGACUCAAGAGUUGGUUUAGACCACAAUAUUGAUAAAUUUAUUACAAAUUUAUUACCUCAAUAUAUUAAGAGGUUAAAUAAUCAUCACAAAAAAUAACUUACUUACUUAUCUAUAUAAAAUAUAAUAUAAAAAUGAAAAAUCAUAUUUUUCCAAGUGUAAUUUUAUCAUUUAAAUAUAAUAUAAAUCAUAUAUUUGUUUAAAUUAUCUAAUAUAUAUAAUAAAACAAUUUAAUAUUAAAUAUACUUUUUAAAAUAUAAACUUAUUUAUAGAAUAGUGUCAAUACAUUUUUAUUAAAUCACAUAAACUAUUUUCCAAUUUAUUUAAACUUUUAUAGUAUCAUUUCUCGAUUUAAAAGUAGUGCACAAACACUAUAAAACAAUAUUACAUAUACAUUCAAUUAAAUUUUUUAUACUUACCAUAUUAUAUCAAUAUUACAUAUAAUCACUUCGCAAUCAUGUUUGGUGUUCCUCGCCAAUAUGGAAAGGUGAUUUAUGCGAGAGACAAACCUCAGAUGCUGAUGUUGUUCUGGAACAUCACUACGUUCGAUCAACUGAAGAGGGAGUUGGUUCGUUGGUUAGAUGGGAAAGUAUCAGAAGGGGAAAAAAUUAGAAGUAUUGAGAGACUUGACAGUAUCUUUUGUUGGAUGCGAAUGAAGACUGAUAAGGAUGCUAGGGAAAUGAUGUUCGGUCGAGACGACAUCAAUUUGAUUGUUGUAAUCAGUUAGAAAUAUUUCUAUUUUCAGAUAGCUUAUUUUGUACUGAUGUUUGUUGUGAACCUCAUUGUAACAAAAACUUAAUGAUAUAUAAUGAUUGAAGGUUACAGAAAUACAAUAUUACAAAAAGCUUAAGACCUAGAUGAUGCUCCUCGAUUGGGACAAUUGUUCUUGUUGUGUCCUGGUUGACGACAGAUACGACAUAAUCUUAUCAUUUUAUCUGUGGAAUCCAUCUCUGUUCUGAUAUGUGUGCUGCUUGGCCUUCCUUUUUUCUUUCUUUGCAUCUCGUCAUUGUGCCAAACAAUAUCACCUUAAUAUGGAGGCCAGUAAUCCUCCAUUGGUAGUACUGAGAAGCUUUGAUUAUACACAUUCAUGAUGGUGUCGGCCUUGUACACAUCAGAUAAAUGGCUGUAAGCAUCUUGACGAGUAUAAGCGCAUGCUGCAAUGACGUGGGAGCAAGGUACACGGAAGGCCUGGAAUUUUCCACAAUCGCACCAACUUCUGUUUAGUCUAACAACGUAGGCUAAAUUUGGUCUCCCCUCGUUGUGGUCCAUUGUUUCAUGGACGCUGAAAUUUUGUCUAUGACGGUCAAAGACUGUUACAGCGUGUGUGCUAGCUUUGAUGCUCUCCUCUUUCAUGACCUUCAUGCAACACUCACUAAAUACUUGCCCAGACAUUAACACCGCACUCCGUCUUUCACCUCUGGUUGCGAACGUAGAAGCCAACCUAUAAUAGGUUGAUCUUACCAAGGCGAUUAUCGGCAGAUUUCGAAUUCCUUUGAAUACCCCGUUCAUGCAUUCCACAAGGUUUGUUGUCAUGUGGCCCCAUCAACAACCUCUGUCAAAUGCCCUUAUCCACUGCUCUACUGGUAUGUUAUUUAGCCAUCUCUCUGCGUCUUCAUUAGACAGUCUAAUUUCAUCACGAUAAUAUUGAAAUGACGGUUGAGUUAGAGCAUACCCAGCAUUCACCACCUUCUUGCGAAGAUUCUUAUCUUUUAUAGCACACAUGAAGUUUUGUGCAAUGUGUCUGAUGCAAUAGACAUGGGUAGAAGGAGGAUCAUGCCAUCCGUUGUCAUAGUUGUUGUAGGCACUCUCAAUGGCAGCAUGUCUAUCAGAAAUCUAACAGAGAUUGACUUGUGGAGCCACAUGCGUUCUGAGAUGUCGAAGAAAGAAACCCCAUCCACCAGCCGUUUCACCUUCAACAAGAGCAAAGGCAAUGGGAAAGACAUUGUUGUUGCCGUCUUGUGCAACCGCCAAAGUACCUUGUAUUGCGUAUAACCAAGUGCCAUCAAUUUGAAUAAUAGGUUUGGCAGAAUGCGAACUUGAUGCACGGGAUAAUGCCCAAAAGAGACGGUGAAGAUUCUUUCCUGUAGCACAAGUUCGUCUUGCAUCAUCGUGUGGAUCGUGUGAAGCUGCAGUCAGUUUAUUGCCCAAAUAUCCCACAGCUAGCCUAGGAGAAUGGCAUCUGCGCAAAGUUAACGACCAAUGGAACUUCAAUCCAUGGCAAAGCUUCGCAAGAUCGGAGUGUCGCAAAUGGAAGCACCGUCAUGACCAUGUGUUAACUGACGCGGUCAUGCCAACUGAAGAAAAACCAAGUCGUACUUAUAUGGCUUGGUACAUAUCAGUUGGUUUUUAGUUCAUCGCCGAGGAUAUGUACUUGUACGACCCACGCCAGAUGACUUACACACCUGACACCUCAACAUCGAACCCCCAACAACAGUGUCAGACCGGAUACACACAACCUCCUGUCCGUCAAACGUUCCGUUCAACCAACACACAAACAUACACCCAAAACAUUCCAUACACCCAACCCCAAUACCAAGAGUAUACCCCAUACCACCACCAACAAAUUGACCAUCAACCCGAGACUCAACAUCGCUUCGCACCCACCCCAUCACCCUACUAAAGUCGCCUAAGCCAAAAUACCCAACGAUUAUUCAACACCAACCGCCCCUCCUCCUACCGUAGCCAAGAAGCCCAAACCUCACAAAACCAAAACAUCCAACAACCCUAUCUCUACCAAACACCCCAACAACCUUUCCAACCUUUCCUCGAUGCAUCGACUACCGUAGCCAAGAAGCCCAAACCUCACAAAACCAAAACAUCCAACAACCCUAUCUCUACCAAACACCCCAACAACCUUUCCAACCUUUCCUCGAUGCAUCGUUCACACCCAUGUCUCCCUUCAACUGUCCCGGUCGCCCAUCAAUGAGUCAAUCACAUCCCAACUUCUCUGGCAUGGGUCAUGAGCUCAGCUAUGGCGGUACACCAUCGAUGCAUACUGAAGACUAUGCCGACUUGUCUGACUAUCUCAACAGACCUUCUCCUGUAGUUGGUAGUGACGCUCCUGGGCCCUCAGAUGCUCAAACACCGGUACCGAAUCGUCAACGUGGGUUAGGGCCACAGGUUAGGGUAGCUAGAGGAUGUGGGACCGAAGGUCGGUUAGGUGAUCCCGGUCAUCACCAUUAGGUUUCUUUGUGUAAACGGAAAAUUUUAUUAAUAUCAAGUGGUCCUAUAUCAAAUUUAUCUAUCACGUAUACCAUUUACAAAAAAAAUUGCAUUUUAGGAGGAGUCUCCAAUUGAAUUGGCGCCUCCUCUUAAACCCUAUACAGGGGGGCUAGGGCACUUGCCCUAGCCAAUCCAAUUGGCGCCUCCAUUCAAUUUUUAAGAGGAGUCUCCAAUUCAAUUGGCGCCUCCAUUCAAUUUUUAAGAGGAGUCUCCAAUUCAAUUGGCGACUCCUCCUAAAAGUGGGGUAGUUUGGAAAUUUUUUUGAAACCAUGGAUAUUUUGGAAAUUUCCUUGAAAAAUUGGGUUAUUUUCGUAAAAAUUUCAAUACACGUCUUUUAUUGAUUUUAUAUUGUAAUAUCGGUUCAUAUUCAUUUUUCUCGAAUUUCUUUAUUGAUAAAAUUUAAAAUGAUACAAGCUAAAUUCAGAAAAAUAUAAAUAAAUUUUUUACAAGUGUAAUUCUUUUAAAUUAUCAUGUUGUGUGUUAAAAUCUUAAUCUACCAAUUUUUUUAAAAAAGUAUUCCGUUUGUUAUCAGUUAUGUAUAAGACAUACUAGUAUAUGAUAAAAUGAUUAUAAACUAUUCCCACGUUUUGACAAUGUCAAAUGUCCAAGUAAUACGAUUAAUUAUCUUAGCAGCAGUCAUUAACGAAGAGGAGGCUACACUACACAUAUUUAAAAAUAGUACUUACUACUAACCCACCCAUGUUGUACGCAUACAUCUUUUCCUUAGCCGACCGCAUUUUUAUUCAAUUAUUAUUACAUAGAUGAUAGAUUCACCAAUUUCUCUCCUUUCUAUAUAUACAUACACACCAUCUAUUUAUUCCUCAUCUCAUAAUUCAUAGUAAUAUAUCUUCUCCUGCUUAAUUUCUCUGUUACUCAUUAACAAGUAUGGCCGAUAACCAACCUCAGUUGAACGAUUCUUACUAUGGACCUGCAAUUCCAGCUGCUCGAGGGCAAUCCAGCAACCGCCGCAACCGUGGCGGAAGCGGUUGUUGCACUCUCUUUACCUUUUUAUGGAAACUUCUAGUUGCACUUAUUGUUCUCUUUGGUCUCAUAAUCCUUAUCUUCUAUCUCAUUGUACAACCGCUUUCCUUCAAGUUCUAUGUCACAAAAGCCCAAUUAACUCAAUUCGACUACACAAACAACACACUACACUAUAACAUGGUGCUCAACUUUACAGCUCACAACCCAAAUAAAAAACUCAGCAUUUACUAUGACAAAGUUGAAGCUCAAGCAUUCCUCGAAGGGUCGAGGUUUGCUAAUGUUGACAUGAUCACACACAUGAACUCGUUUCGCCAAUACAAGAAAGGCAGUAACCCCAUGAGUGGAGUUUUUGCAGGACAAAAAUUGUUGAUGCUCGAUAUUGGUCAAGUCUCCGAGUUCAACAAAGAUAAGAAUAUUGGAGUUUAUAAUAUCUAUGUUAAGCUCUACUUUACGGUUAGGUUUAGGCUUGGCGACUCCAUAUCCAGAAAGUACAAACCUAAGGUCAAGUGCGACCUCACUGUUCCUUUGAGCAACGAAAAUGGAACUGGGUUUACCUUUAUUCGACUUAUACCCACUAAGUGUAAUGUUGAGUUCUAGGUUCUAAGCUUGCACUUUCUUGUAAUUGUUUUCCUUUCUCUCUUUUUUUUUCUUUCUUUUUGCUUUUGAGCCUAAUAUUGGCAUGCAAGAUAUUGGUUGUUAUUUUAUUCAUUUUUUGACUCUAAGGUACAUGUACCAUCCAUGCAAUUUAUUCUAGUGCUUAAGAUUUUUUUAUUUAUCUUAGUUUAAGUUUUCUUAGAUGAUUAAUUUUCAAUUUUAAUAGUCAAAGUUUCUAUAGAGUGCAUUUGGAAAGGAUAUUUAAAAAUUAAUUUUAGUGAAAUUAGAAGUUCACAUGAUUCAAACGCUAUAACUUAUUCCCUUUCCACUUAAGAUUUUUAGGAGGUGGCAUCAUGUUAAGGGUGAGUCUUAUUCUAUGUCAUUUGUUUAUUACUAUCUUAUAGUUCGGGUGUUUCGUCUGAGCGUCAGAUUAGUCCUAGGACGGUAAUGCUCUGGAGUAUUUGGAGUAGUUAGUCUCUUUUAAAGUUAUUGUGUUUUUCUAGUAAUUCCUUUAGGAUCGUAUCCCUGUUAGAGAGAAUUUACUCAAAUAUAGAGUUUUAUUCGAUGUUCUCUUGUCCUUUCUGUUUGGCUCACCCGGAGUCGUCCUCCCAUCUCUGUCACAUGUGACAUGGGAUCCAUUUUUAGUAUAAGAUUUUUAGGUGGUUAAGGUGGUAUGUAGAUUUACCUAGUGACAUUUUGACUCUCAUUCAGAUGUUCUAUCCUAUUAGAGGACUGUUAAGGACUAAGGGAGUUUAUUAAUGAUUUCACAUGUUGUGGUCUGGCCGAUUUGGAAAUUCUAUAAUGAUAAAGUGUUCUCUGAUUCUUCGGUGACAGUGAAAAAUGUGGAAGACAUGAGUAUCAUCAUGACUUGGAAAUUAUAUCUUGGUAGGUAUGUGGAUAACUCUUAUACUUUCACAACUUGAUGCGAGAACCCUAUCAUGCAUCUGAGCGAAUAGGGGUUUGAGGGACUAUGACCUCCCUUGGACGUGCUCUUGUUGUGUUCUUCUAAGACUGGCGUUGCUUAUGCGAGUCCUGCCGUAGAGAUCUAGCGUUUCCAUGUGUUUGAUCCCUUUUUUUUGUUUUGGUGUUCUUUACUUUUGGAUUUGCAUAUGGGGUUUUGGUGUUUAUGUUGUAUUUUUAUUGGUUUCUUCGUCCUCCAGAAUAUAUAUAUAUAUAUAUAUAUAUAUAUAUAUAUAUAUAUAUAUAUAUAUAUAUAUAUAUAUAUAUAUAUAUAUAUAUAUAUAUAUAUAUAUAUAUAUAUAUAUAUAUAUAUAUAUAUAUNNNNNNNNNNNNNNNNNNNNNNNNNNNNNNNNNNNNNNNNNNNNNNNNNNNNNNNNNNNNNNNNNNNNNNNNNNNNNNNNNNNNNNNNNNNNNNNNNNNNNNNNNNNNNNNNNNNNNNNNNNNNNNNNNNNNNNNNNNNNNNNNNNNNNNNNNNNNNNNNNNNNNNNNNNNNNNNNNNNNNNNNNNNNNNNNNNNNNNNNNNNNNNNNNNNNNNNNNNNNNNNNNNNNNNNNNNNNNNNNNNNNNNNNNNNNNNNNNNNNNNNNNNNNNNNNNNNNNNNNNNNNNNNNNNNNNNNNNNNNNNNNNNNNNNNNNNNNNNNNNNNNNNNNNNNNNNNNNNNNNNNNNNNNNNNNNNNNNNNNNNNNNNNNNNNNNNNNNNNNNNNNNNNNNNNNNNNNNNNNNNNNNNNNNNNNNNNNNNNNNNNNNNNNNNNNNNNNNNNNNNNNNNNNNNNNNNNNNNNNNNNNNNNNNNNNNNNNNNNNNNNNNNNNNNNNNNNNNNNNNNNNNNNNNNNNNNNNNNNNNNNNNNNNNNNNNNNNNNNNNNNNNNNNNNNNNNNNNNNNNNNNNNNNNNNNNNNNNNNNNNNNNNNNNUAUAUAUAUAUAUAUAUAUAUAUAUAUAUAUAUAUAUAUAUAUAUAUAUAUAUAUAUAUAUAUAUAUAUAUAUAUAUAUAUAUAUAUAAAAGUAGGGAUCAAUUUACUCCAAAAGUAUAUUUUUUUAACUUACUCAAAAUCAAAACAUUUAAAUUAAAUUUAAUCUAAUAGUUAAUUAAGUAAAAAUGCUUAUUGACCAUUAAAUUAGAUUCAAUUUGAAGGCUAUGAUUUAGAGUAAGUUAAAAGAACUUACUCUUGAAAUAAGUUGAUCUCCAUUAUAUUUGCCUUUAAAAAAUGUUAUAACUCAUUUUAUUUCUUAUACAUAUAUACCUUUAUAUUUUGUAAUAGCCUAAGCUUGUUUGACAUCAAUUGACUUCAAACCUUUAAGGUAGAGCAGGUAUGUCCAUGGAGAGGGCUCAAAGAAGCAUGAUUAAACUUACUAUUAAGGGAGGAAGGUGAUUUUUUUUAUUAUCAUGGGUCCGGUAAACUGAUUUGAGUAUUCAGUUCAAUCUAUGUGAAGCUACCAUUAGUUGCGAAGAGGAUGAUGCUACUAUAUGUGGCGAUGAUAGUGAGAAGGUGACAACGAAGUACCCUGAGAAAGAGCAAUAUGGUAAUUCAUAAAUCAAAAAUCUUACAAGUCUCCAAAAAAUGUUGAAAGAUGUUAAAUUAACUCAUCAAGAAUUAAGUAGUGGAAAUCGCAAAAUCAUUGCGCCCUUUGGGGUAGUAGUGCACCAUACACGAUAUCAUUGCGUCACUUUGUUUACCAUUCGGCACUACGGGAUAUCAUUGCUUCCUAUGGGGGACAUGUCAUCACUACAACAAAGAGUAUAUUUCGUAACAAACUUUUACCUCAACCAAUUAAUUUUACCGAGGUAAAUCUAUUCGAUUAUGCACCUUUCUUUCAUUUUAAUUUUAAGUCACUUUUUCCCCUCGUUCAUUGUUAUCAAGUGUUCGGAAAUAUGGUUUCUUCCUUUUAAUUUAUUUUUAAAUUAAAAUUAAAUUACUUUUUCCCUUAGUUAUCUUACACAAUUUUGAGGAAAUGUCCUUCAAGAAAACACUUAGAAUCCCAACAGUAACAAUUUUAUUUUUUUAUUCAUUUUAUGCAACUUUUUCCCUCGGUCAGUUUUAUCAACCAUGGGAACACAUGAAUUAGAAACAAAAAAAUAAAAUGAGAAAAAGUUGAAAAAGGAAACACCACAAUUUGUUGUUUCCUAUCCAUUUUUUUAAGAUUUGCUAUUUUCUUUUUGUGUUGCAAUAUCUUAUUAACUUUUUACAAUCCUGAAAGCUCGGGCUUCAAAGGUUAAUGUUAAAGUUCAAGCAUACCAUUUACUUGAUAAAGUGAAACUUAACAUUAAUCUUCAAACCAAAAAUUUCA
rnacentral:lncRNA from 1 species